AUUUUUUUCUAUCCCCACGUGAAGUUGUUAUUUAUUUUUAAAAAGUUGGAUUACUCUUUUGUUUCCAUGUAUCAAAUUUUCCAUAUCAGCCUUUACUCAUGCCCACCACUUCUUUUCAUAGUGCCGGUGGGGCUGCUGGCUUAGGUGCUGGUGCGGCUGCGGGCUUAGGUGCUGGUGCGGCUGCUGGCGCGGCUGCAGCACCUGGUAUUAUCUUUUUCAAGACUUUUGACAGGACUGCUGGCGGCUCCUUGCCCGUUGCUUGCCUACACAAAAUUGAAUACGUCUGGUAUCAAAAGAUCUUAAUACUUACGGUUCAAAACAUGUUCACUACCAACCAACCUAAUAGUUUGUACGUAUAGAAACAUAUUCAACCAUGCAGCUACACAAAUAGAUACAUUCUUAAUACUGCCCAUGGUAAAUGCGCUAGAGUAACGAGUGGAUGAAAUGUAAUUUGCUUUUUUCAUAAUUUUAGAAAAGGUGGGAUUCAAUUAAGGGGAAUAUCGAUUAUUUUUUCAAUAUUUAUUCCUCUACGUAUACCCUUAAUUUGCGUAUCUAUAGGAUGCAGUCGAGAUCAUCAACUUAUGCGUUAGUUAAUCCCUCGCUCUGCCACCUAAUAUCUAUAUUAAAAUUUGUAUAAAUAUAAUAAAAUUUUCCAUUCAAAGAAUUUUCUAAAAUAUAUGUACGCGUAUACAAUAAUUUAUUAUGUUAGUGUUAAAUACUUGUAGAGCCACAGGAUGAUGGUGACAGCAGUCGCACCGGCGCCACCGGCGGCUGCUAAACCCGUAGUCAGUAAACCAGUGGUAAUACCAGCUGGUACGAGAAUCGGACUGAAUACUACGAAUAGUGGCAUGGUAGCGAUAAAUGCGGCGGCUGUGCCGGCGAGGGAUACACCGGAGAUCAACAAGAGGAAUGUUGCGGCUUGUGUAGCUAAUAUUGAGGUUAAAACACUCUUAAACGACGGCUUUCGCUCGUGUUUUUUCUUCCUGAGUAUCCCCAUUGUUUACUAGUUUGAAUGGCUAGAAGAGAGGGGUAUGAUUCUUUGGUCCGAUGGUCGUGGGAAUUUAUGAAGAAGAGAUGGAUUCAUGCACAUAUAUUAAGUGGUGUGGUCUACGUGUACGGUACGUGUUUAUAAAUACCCAUGCGAGUGAAUGUUGAGCUCUAUACGUUACGUCAAUGCCUUUUCCUUUCGUCUGUUUUUUUGUUGUUGGGUUGUCACAUGUUUUGCCUCUUUUUAGCUUGCUUGUAAAAUAGGAGUGGACAUUUUGGUUUAAUUCACGUAAACCAAAUGAUAUCUGGAUCGUUUAUGUUUGAUUUAGUUUUAGAAGCACCUGAAUUUUAAGCGAACUUAUAUAUAAUUCUUAAUGAUCUAGUUAGAAAUUGCUUCUGUUAUAUUUGGUUUAGUUUUGACCUUUGAUAGAGUUUAAUUUGGUUGUCUCGUGUUAUGGUUAUUUAUGAACCAAAAGUUGAUCUGUUGGUUUUAUUAGGACUUGCUUACGGCUAAUCCCACGGCUGUGACGCCAAGGAUUAUUCCGGAGAAUUUCAAUAGAACUAUGCAGCCACUGCAGUGAAAACCGCCUGAAAAAUCUCAAAAUAGAUAUUAAUUAAAAUUGAAUUGGAAGACCAUGUCAGUGCAUUUGAAUAAUGAUUCCGGAGGGAUGUGCAUGUUAUUAUGAAGCACAUUAUUUCUUUGCUUCCAUAGAUGGAAAAGUGUGACUGGAGCGGAGAGACAACGAAGCUUUGGGCACAAGAGAAAGAACAAUGGCCACAGAGAAAGAAUAAUCUUGUUUGAUAGCGUGGUUGUGUAAUUUUAUGAAAAGAGAGUGGACAUGCAUAGCCAGUGCCAAAUGAAAUUCAUUUCAUUCAUUCAUGUACAAAUUUGUUAUGAAAUAUUUUUUUAUAUAUUUUAUCUAAUUAUUUUUUAAAUUGGUGAAAUGAUCAUUCAAUUUUAUUCAUAGUAAAUGGUAAAAAAAAUUGUGGAGUUAAUAGAAUCAACUAUUCCACAUCUUUCUAUUCCAAAAAAUUGUAAUCCAGUUGCACCAUGAAUGUUUAGAUCAACGUAACUUGGCCACAAUACAGCUCAAAAAGAAAUGAACUUGGCCACAACUUUUUUUUUUUUUGAAAAGGGCAUUACUUGACCAUAAUUAUUAUGGCCCCAUUUUACAUGUAACUUACAAUGGUUCCUUGAGGCCUAUAGAUUGUCUCGUUUGACAACGUUGGUGAACAAGAACUUGAAUAACAUUUUAGUUGAACUUGAAUAAAAUUAACGUCAACGACACUUCGCUUCGUUCUUAAAAUGUUAUACAAUAAAAAUGCUUACAUUUGUUACUAUUUUGUUCCACGAUAUCCAUUAGUAUAGUGAUAUUUGAAAAUUUAACUUCCAUCCCCACGUAAAUAUUAUUAUUUAUUUUUUAAAGUUGGAUUAUUUAUCUAUCAUCCUUUGCUUAUUACCCACCGCUUUCAUGUACUCGGUGCAGCUGCUGGUGCGGCUGAUGGUGCUGCCGCUGGUGCGGCCGCUGGGUCGGCUUCUGGUUUUGCUGCCAGUUUAGCUGCAGCACCUCCACCAGGAAACACCUUUUUCAAGACUUUUGACAUGAUUUUUGGCGGCUCCUUCCCCGUUACUCGCCUACACAGAAUUGAACACGUCUAUAUGUCAAAAGUCGUGGUAUCAAUUCUUAAUAGUUACGGCUCAAAACAUGUUCACUACCAACCAACGUAAUAAUUUGUACGUAUACAAACGUUUUCAACCAUGCAUCUAAACAAAUAGAUAUAUAUUCUUAAUAUUCCCAAUGGUAAAUGCGCUAGAGUAACGAAUGGAUGAAAUGUAAUUUGCUUUUUUUCAUAAACUUUUAGAAAAGGUGGUAUUCAAGGGAAAUAUCGAUCUUUAUUCAAUAUUUGUUCUAGAAACAACCGCACCCGUAAUUACGAAAACACAUUAAGUAUGUAUUAUAAAUGCAUACCUUUUUGUAGUUAUCACUUUUUAAUAAAUUUAAAUCAAUAAUAAUUCAAUAAGCUCAAUUAUUUUUUUCCUAAAAAAUACAAUGUACUAUUAUUCAAUAAUGAUAAACUUAUAAAACAUAAAAUUUAUCUUUGUGAAAUAUUUUUUAAAUUUUUUUUAUCUUUUUGAAUGGAAGGAGUAAAUAACAAAGUGUAGUAAAAUUCAUCAACUUAUGCGUUAAUUAUAAUCCGUCAGUCUCCCACCCAAUAUAUGACUUAAAAUUUGUAAAAAUAAAUUUUCCAUAAUCAUAUAUUUUGUUAGUGUACUUGAAGACCCAAAGGAUGAGGGAGACAGCCAUUGCACCGGAGCUACCGGCGGCUGCUAAACCCGUGGCCAGUAAACCAGUGGCAACACCCGCUGGUACGAGAAUCGGACUGAAUACUACGAAUAGUGGCAUGCUAGCGAUAAAUGCGACGGCUGUGCCAGCGAGGGAAACACCGGCGAGCAAUAAGAGAAAUAUUGCGGCUUGUGUAGCUAAUAUUGAGGUUAAAACACUCUUAAACGACGGCCUUCUGGAUUUUUUAUUGUGUUUCUUUCUGAGUACCCCCAUUUUUCACUAGUUUGAAUGGUCAAAAGAGAUGGGUAUGAUUCUUUGGUCCGAUCGUUGUGAGAAUUUAUGAAGAAGACAAGGAUUCAUAUAUGAAUAUCGAAAAUGGUGAGGUCUGCGUGCACGUUACAUGCUUAUAUAUCCCCAUGCGAAACGAUGCGAGUGGACGUUGAGCUCUACACGUUACGUACAGUGCCUUUUCUUUUCGUUUGUUCUUCUUGUUCGGUUGUCGGUUGUCACAUUUUUUUUUGUUUUCUUGUAAAAUAAGAGUGGACAUUUUGGGUUCAUUCACGUAAACGGUUUAGCCGUUCAUGUUUGAUAUACUGAAUAUUAACCGACAUUAUUUACUGUUCCGUUUGGUCUUAUUAGAAAUUGGUAUGGUUAAUUAUAACUGACAAUAAACUCACAAUGUCUUAAGUGGCAAGCUAUAGACUGUUUCCAUUAUAAUUCUUUAGGUUAACGGCAAAACUUCAAAAAUAGGAGCGCAUUAUAAACCUAGACUCAAUAACCAUAUUCAAUUAUGAAAGCAAGUGAUUAACAUACCAAUGACAACCAAAGAAACCCAUAUCAGUAACAACUAACAACCAAUAAUGGAUGAUGGCGCCUUUAUAUAUAAAUGCGCAAAUAGGACAUCCAAAUUAAUUAUAACAUACGUUCAUAUUGUUUAUCAAAAGAAAAAGAAGCUAGAUUGGGUUUAAUUUGUGGUGCACUCUAAAUUGAUUAAACAUAUCUAGAAAUCAAGUUGCUUCAAAUCGUUUUCCACCAGGAGAGGCCUACCACCAGGAAACAACUUGAUUGAGCUGUCUUUCUUCUUAUAUCCAUUAUUAAGCUUUUAUGAUGUAGAAUCUACUGUAUUUUUUCUUCCAAUGUAGAUCCAGUUUCCAUUCAGGUAGCAAUGAGGUCUCAAAUACUUUAAACGUUACAUGUUAUCCUUAUGAUGUCAAUCGAUCAAACUGUAGAAUCAUAAACAAAAAAAAAAAUCAAAAAUCAACAUGAUUAAAGGUCUAGUUAAACCACAAAAGAAGUAAAUGCUCAGUUGAAAUCAAAUACUGAUUUUUGAUUGGAAUUUUUUUCCUUUGACAUCUCUCCAUUCUACAAAGAAUUUUGAAAUAGAUUGGUUUAUUUAGAAAAAAUUACAUCUAGGCAUACUUUUUCAUUGUCAACUUACAUAUAGACAUACUUUAAGCAUGUGACAUACUUUCUCUUGACAAAAUACCUAAAGAGCCCUUUCAAUUUUAACUGGUUGGUUGGAAACGUGAGUUAAGGUUGGUUACUCAAUCAAUCGCCCUUUCACAUCUCUAUUUUGUUUUCUCUUUGCAUUUCUUCUCUCCCACAUAUCUCAUUCGUCCAACACCAGAUCUCUUUUUCAAAUCACAGAAUCUAUCAUUUUUUUUCUUUUUCUUUUUCAUUUUUCAUUUUUCAUCUUUCAUCCUUGUUGUUUGGCUCCUCUUUCCUUUUUAUUCUUUUCUUUCUUUUUAUCUAACUCAAAUCCGUGAAUUUUUCAAAACAACACUAUCAUCUCAAUUCUUGGCACGAUUACCGUCAUCACCACAACUUCUUUCAUCGCCAUUGCCACAACUCUUCUUGGGGCCGCCGCCGCACUUGCAGAACCACCACUGCAAUUCUUUCCCAUCGUUUUUGAGAAAGCCCUGAACACACGAACACUUUGACCACAUGAACAUUGACUGUAACUCUGACCAUAUGAAUACUAACCCCGAUUCUGAUCAUAUGAACACUAACCCUAACCAUCCUUUCUCUCCACGAAAACCAUGACUAUGUGGUUUCCAACCGUAACCACCAGCUCAACGAAACCCCUAACCACGAAAGAGCAACCAACCUUUCACUAUAACCCUGACCGCAAAUGUCUGUUCUUAUUAACCACAUCAAUCCUAAAUAGGCAAAAUCUGCGCCUGACCACACAUUUCUGACCACAAAACCCAACACUCAGAUCAAAGUCGUUCACUAUUUAACUAACAUUUAAAGCCAACAAAACCAGAUUUUUUUUGUCACUAUUUUCCUUUAAUUUCAUAGGGGUAUUUUUGUCAUAUAAAAUUUACACCUAAGUUCUAAAGUACACCUCAUGCACAAAGUAUCUAUUUGUGUAAAGAUGAAGCCCAAAGUAUGUCUAUAUGUAAGGCUCUCGUUUAUUUAUCUACUGUUAUCAGUAUUUACAAACAGUGAGAGGACUACUCUAAAAACAAAAAUGCAUGACAUUGUAUAGAUAUAUAUUUCGUCAUCAUGCAUGAUACCAAUAUUUCUAAAUUUAUAAUAGAAAAUAAGAAAAUAAUGUGAUGUUAGGAAACAAGAAACCAAAAAAUAAAUAAUAAUGCAGUACCGUUGAGAAUCAAAUGGUUCUUUAGUAGUCACCAUCAGAGAGGUAAAAGACAAGUUGAACAUAAAUGAGAAGAUUCGUCCUUAGAACCAUUAUGUAAAAAAGUAUACGUUGAUUACAGCUUUCAUGCGAAGUGUCAGGUCAUGCAAUAACUUUGAUGAAGAAAAAGAUCGACGUUGUCUUCAUUAAUUGUUAAGAGUUAGGACCCAUCUAUAAAACCACUAAGAGAGCGACAAAACCAUGAGAGUUUGUGUCCCUACCCAUUCACGGCUGCUAUAACUUUGUGAUUACCUUCUUCUCUCCUCUUCUUUACCUUUUAUAUAUAAGAGAUCAAAGCUUUUGUUCAGACAUCACUUGCAAAAUAAUUUAUUUUUAUCUCAUUUGUGUCUUGUCUGGGAAAAAAACAUGGCUACUUUUGAGGAAAGCUCUGAUUUGGAUGCUAUACAGAAGCAUCUCUUUGAAGACUUUAUGGUUUCUGAUAGUUUCAUGGGAGAUUUUGACUUUGAUGCUUCUUGUGUCUCAGGACUCUGGUGUAUAGAGCCUGCAAUGAAUCAAGUUCCUAAACAAGAACCUGAUUCCUCAUCAGCACAUGAGACUGAUCAGACUGUCUCGACCAAGAAAAAAAGCAAAGGGAGGUUCCAUGAAGAAGAAGAAGAACAGAGGCAUUACCGAGGAGUGAGACGAAGGGCGUGGGGCAAAUUUGCAGCAGAGAUUCGUGAUCCAGGUAAGAAAGGAUCUCGGGUAUGGCUAGGAACCUUUGAGAGUGGUGUUGAUGCUGCAAGAGCCUAUGACUGUGCAGCUUUCAAGCUCAGGGGAAGAAAAGCUGUGCUCAACUUUCCCCUAGACGCUGGCAAAUAUGAAGCUCCGGCGAACUCAGGACGGAGAAGGAAGAGGAGUGAUGCGAAGGAGGAGCUCCAAAGAAGCCAGGGAAACUCUUCAUCAUCUUCAAUUGAUGGAGAAACUACAUGUGAAUGAUGCAUUUAACAUUUAAGAAUGUGGGCAUUGUAUAAGGUGAAGUGUAGGUUAGUAUGCUAAUAACUCUUGCAACAAACUUGUAUCUAUGUGUCUGUUUCUUCAUGUUCAAAAGACCAUAAUAUUUUAGAAACAAGUUCUUGUUGAGUUCCCGAUCUCUAAACACAAUCAAAAUCUCAUCUCUUACAUAGAAACUUCACUGAAAUAUAUAGCUUCAACAAGUGAGUGUGCCUAAUUUUAAUGCAAGAGGAGAAGGGGGAGUGAAUGAAGAUGAACUAGUUGCAGCAUGAGGGACCAGUUUUAAGAAUGUAGCAGCAAAUGCUGUCUUAUAGCUUAGGUAGACAUCAAGUCAUCAACACUCAAUGAUAAAGUAUAUGGUAAGCUACAUGGUCCAGACUCUUGAAAGAGAUGCACAAGUUGCAUUUUAAUAACAAUAAUAAGUAAAUGAAUAUUUCAAAUUUGAAAACUUCAGUUUAAUAGUUUCACAAAUUUUCUUAUCAAACUACUUUUUGUGAGUUCCUCUUACAUUCUCUGGAUAGACAUGCUCUUAUGUUUGUUGAUAUUUUCAUGAGUGAUAUAUAUCAUCAUAUCAUACGUAUUCUUGCUUCUAAUCUAUUAAUUUAGAGUCCUAUUUUUUAUCUACCAUACAAAAGUCUAUGUUAGACCAUUAAUUAGAAACUAAACUAAUUAUCCUAAAUUUAUGCAUAUAUGAUAUUUUCUAACAGAAACAUUAUAUACAUCUAAACAAUAACAUUCUUAAAAAAAAGCCAAAUACAUUUCCAUUAUGCAAUUAUUUUGUUUAUCAUAUUUAGUCUAGACCAAACUUUAUAUAUAUUUAAGUAACUAAUUUCGAAAUUGAAUAGUAUAUCCCAAUUCUUUUUGAAAUUAUCAUAAAAUUAUAUACGUAAAAAUUGAUAUUAAAUAUAUAUCUUUAUAACUUAUUUUAUAUUUUAAAUGUUAUUUUAAAAACAAACAUAUAUCCGCACGUAUGUGCGGGUUCAAAUCUAGUUUUUUUUUAAAUUAGUGAUUACAAAAAAUUUAACUGUUAAAAUAUAGAAAAUUAUUUAACUAUGAAACUUUGACACAAAACUUUUAAAAUUUUAAAAUCUAACUGGAACAAAAUUGACUUUAAGAAGUUUAAAAUUAAAAGUUUAAAUCCGCACAUAAACUAAGUUAGAGGAAUAAAACGAAACUUUGUAAAAGUAUGGUGGUUACUUGUGAUAUUUAUAAAACUAUAUCCACACGAGCACGAAAACAAAUACUGUUUCCUUAGGGGAUUUUUGAUCAAAUCGAAUCUCGAAUUCGUCGCGAGUGAGUAAUUUGCGCAAUGGUGCUUUCGCAGAAGAUUCAUGGAGCAUUCAAAGGCGCAGUGGAGAGGAUGACCGGUCCUCGAACGGUCUCGGCUUUCAAGGAGAAGGGAGUUCUCAGCGUCAGCGAGUUCGUUCUCGCCGGCGACAAUCUCGUCUCCAAGUGCCCUACCUGGUCAUGGUCAGCUCCAAUUUCAAUACCCACGUGUUAGAUUUCUCAUUCAUGCCUAAAGCUGCGAGCUUUAUCGAUUCUGAGGUUUUAGGGUUUUGGUAUGAUCUCUGGAUUAAAAUCUAUUUUCUUUUUUUAAUUUAAUCAGGGAAGCUGGUGAUCUGAGCAAAAGGAAGCCGUAUUUGCCGUUAGAGAAACAGUUUUUGAUUACUAGGAAUGGUAAAGUUAGAGAUCCUUUUAUGUUUGAUUUUGAAGUUUUUUUUUAUUGUGGCAUUGUAGUGAAGUUUGAGGGUUUUUCAAUGGGUUUUUAACAGUGCCUUGUCUACGGAGAGCUGCUUCUGUGGCGGAGGAUUAUGAAGCUGCUGGAGGUGAAGUUUUGGUUGAUGAUGAAGAUAAUGAUGGUUGGCUUGCUACUCAUGGAAGACCUAAAGGUUGAUUCUCUUAUAUCGCAUCUGCAAGUUUUAUCUUCUCCAGUUACUUACAUGUUCAAUGUGUGGCCAUAGAUAAAAGUAGUGAAGAUGAAGACUUGCCAUCCAUGGAUGCCUUGGAAAUAAACGAGAGAGAUACCAUUCAACGGAGGUGUGAUGGAGGCGAGGAGGAGGAUGAGGAUGAAGAUAUUCCAGACAUGGAAGAUUUUGAUGAGAUUGACAAUGAUCCUGUGAGUUUGUUAUAUCCACAUGAGCUUUGCUAGAUUUUAAUUCUAUUAAUAGACUGAAUCUGAGACGAGAGUGGCUUCAAAGCAUUAUUAUCAACCAGCAGUGUGUUGACAUUCUUUCUCUUGUCAUCUCUGUGGCAGGCAACUCUUCGGUCGAAUUUACUUGUGGCUCACGAAACAGAUGAUGAUAACAUCCUUAGGACCAGAACAUAUGAUGUUAGCAUCACGUAAGCAUCUAGCGCCUUUCCCGUUUUCAAAUCCUUGGCAUGAUCACAUUUACAUUCACGUUUCACUUUGUUUCAGGUAUGACAAGUACUACCAAACGCCCCGUGUUUGGUUAACCGGCUAUGAUGAGGUCUCUCUCUCUGACUCAUUCAUUAUGUUUUGACAAAUUUUGCAUGUCUAUGUUCUUAUGCUCAUAUAAAAAAACGGUGGUAUGUCUUGUAGUCAAGGGUGUUACUGCAACCUGAACUUGUGAUGGAGGAUGUUAGUCAAGACCAUGCACGCAAAACGGUAACAAUAGAAGAUCAUCCACACUUACCUGGGAAACAUGCUUCAGUUCAUCCAUGUCGACAUGGAGCUGUUAUGAAGAAGAUCAUUGAUGUGUUAAUGUCUCGUGGAGUAGAGCCUGAAGUUGACAAGUAAGUUCCCCUCACAAAUUAGUCUUUAUUUUUCCUAUGUAAAGUGAUAGUUACUCUCUGGUUUAUCUUCUAAAUAGGUAUCUCUUCUUGUUCUUGAAGUUUAUGGCAUCAGUGAUUCCAACAAUAGAGUAUGAUUACACAAUGGACUUUGAUCUCGGUAGCUCAAGCACUUAAUUGCAGGUGAAUUUCCAUUAAUAAUAUAUCUUCACAUACAUAAUAUCUUGGUUUUUGAUUGAAUUACAUAAGCACUUGGACUAACUUUUUUUUGCUUUUUGGUUGCUUCUUCUUCUAGAUGGAACACACACAUUUGCUAUUGAUUGUGAGAAGCAAGAAAGUUACUGGAGUGGCUCUUCACUGUGUAUAAUAUGGAGUCCUCGUUUCUUUUUUUUAAAGUUAUUUUCCAUUUUUCGUUUGGGACUUUUAUAUAUUUUCUAUUAUUAACUCUAAUCAGUUAUAUUGGUUUCCAAAAUUGAAAUUGUAUACAGAUGUUAAACGGUUUUAGUCUGGUUAAUCAUGAAACUGUUCUCAUUACUAUAAUUGAGGUGACUAUUAACUUAAUAGUCAGAUACUAAACAAAUUGUCAGGAUGGCCGAGUGGUCUAAGGCGCCAGACUCAAGUUCUGGUCUUCGAAAGAGGGCGUGGGUUCAAAUCCCACUUCUGACAUUAUUUUUCAUCAAAUAAGAAAAUCUUAUUCGGUUGGUCAUGUCAUUUUUUUUUUCCUAACCGACCCCAAUCCGAUUGAACCCAGAUUUAAUAACUCGAUCUAAACGUAAUAACUUUUUCAAAGAUUUCUUAAAAAAAAAGAAGAUAAUUUUUUCAAAAUACAGUUUUUUUUUAGUUUUCGUGAAUGGAUUAUGUUUCUGAUUAGCACCCUCCGUUGGGUUUAAAACAUAAAACCGAUAUUAACUUCAACCGAACCGAAAUCGAAAAUUCCGGUUUGUUUACGGAAUCAUACCCGAAAAUUUUAAACCAAACCGAUCAAAAUUUUCUUUUUUGGUAGUGAGGGGUCGCCGUCGUCUCCGGUCAUUUGAUCAAAGCUAAACUGAUUGGAGUUUAGCAUCUCCCAGAAGAGAAUGGCGAGUAAUAGAGAUAGCGUCAACCUCUCGCGCACGUUCAAGUAUUUACUAGGUUCUUCCUCACUACCUCUCUAAUUAGCUUUCUUCCUCGACUGAAAAUUUUGGGAAUUUAGCUACGCAGUUUCUGUCCAGAGGCAUCCCUUUCAUAUUCAAUUCGUGGAUCGUGAGGCGCCUCACUGAAGCAGACUACGCGGUAAGUAGAUCCCUUGUUUGCCAGAGUUGAUUGAGAUCCCAGUUCAAAUAGAUAUGUUCUUAGAUUUUGUGCUUUGAUGGGGAGUAUUAUGUGGAUUGUUGUUGUUGUAACUGUAUCCAUUUCUUAUGGUAAAGAUGAGUUUUGUUACUCUCAGAUCAGGUUUUGGUUUAUGUGCUUAGUAACAUUUAUCAAGUCAUGUUUUUUUUUAUUAAGUCUUAGCUCUGAAGCUUUUGACUGUUUGGGUUGCUGUAUUUUUAUGCAUUUCUUAAGGUAAAAAUGGGUUUUUUGUUCUAAUUGCUAAAAGUAUAGACUUUUACUUGUGAAAGAUCAGGUUUUGGUUUCUGUGCUUACUUCAGUGAUCAAGUCAUGUUUUCUUAAUAAGUCUUAGCUCUGUAGCUUUUGACCGUUUGGUUUGUUGUAUUCGUAUGAAUUUCUUAGGGUAGAGAUGGGUUUUGUAUUCUGAUUAGUAAAGCAUGGACUUUUAGUUGUGGAAGAGCAGGUUUUUGUUUCUGUGCUUACUAACAAUGAUCAAGUCAUUUUUUUUUUUUUUAAAGUCUUAGCUCUGUAGCUUUGACCGUUUGGUUUGUUGUAUUUGUAUGAAUUUCUUAGGGUAGAGAUGGGUUUUGUGUUUUAAUUGGUAAAGUAUUGACCUUUACUUGUGGAAGAUUAGUUAUAGGUUUCUGUGCUUAGUAACAGUUAUCAAGUUCAUAUAAGUCUUACCUCUACUUGCUUUUAGUGGACUUUCAUUUGAAUAUCCACCGAUCUAUUUUUCUUGCUCAUUGCAAUGCAGCUCUACGCGGUCCAGUUCCAUCUCUUUGUUACAUGUGUCUUGUUUCUCAGCCGAGAGGGAUUCCGUCGCGCUUGCUUGCGUGCUGACAUUAACAGGUACACACAUAAAGCAGUUUGCGCUAAUCCAGUUUAAAUAAUCAGUACAUGACUAAAAUUUCGGUUAGUGAUAUUCCUUUUAAUUUCGUAUUGCAGUGACGGUCUUGUAUCAGAGAAGGAUGUGACUAAGUUAUUAAAAGUGGCAUGGGUGACGUUUCCACUCGGAGUAGCCAUUACUAUUGCAGCAUCCGUCUUUGUGCUUUGGUGGCAGAACCUUAGUUACUCCGAUACAUAUGCACAGGCCAUCUUAAUCCACGGUACAUUGUUGUCUUUUUCUAUUUUUUGGCAUACCUCUUUAGCUCACAACCUUGGAAUAUGGAAGUUCUGUUUUGUGGUCGUUUACUUGUGUCUGUAAUAUAGCAGCAGGUUAUCAACUUAAGGACUAACCAAGUUAACUGGCAGGAUUUGCGUGUGUGCUGGAGCUUAUGGCUGAGCCUUUGUAUAUCCUCUCUCAGACAUUGAUGCUUCUAAAACUGCGACUGGUUGUUGAGACUGUUGCUACAUUUUCACGCUGUGUAACGUUGUGCUUUCUCAUAGUCAAGCAAACCAAUAUGGUACGUCCUGUAACUAAGUUAGUUACUCUUUCCGUUUCAUUUUAAUUGUAGUUUUAAACUUGUGCAGAUAGAUUAAGAAAAAUAUUUAAUUUUGUAUAAUUUCUAAAUUAAAGCGUCAUUACCUAUACAGCUAACCACGUUUCAACAAAAAAAAAAUAGAUUGGAAUAUAAAUUUAAUAAAUUUUGCAUUGAAAUUCUAAAACAACAUUUUUUUUCGAAACAAAAAUUUUACUCUACAACGACAACUAAAAUGAAACAGAGGGAGUAGUUCUUUAUACAAUUCCAUUUUGUUUCUGGAAAAACAAGCAUGAUUCAAGAAUCUUAUAUGAUAAAACUAAAAUUUAAUUAUCUUCAAUAUACGUAGGAAAAAGGGAUAAUCUUUGCACUUUCACAAGUUGCAUAUGGAGGUUCCUUAUUUCUUGGGUACUGGGCUUACUUUCUCAUGCGUGGUGUUUCUAAAAGCUUGAAUCUCUUUCCUUUCAGGUAUGAGUUCUGUAAUUUUAUUCAAAUCAUUCAUUUUCAAUAACGUUCAACAACUUUUGUGAUGUUUUCAAAGACCUGGGAGCUUCAUGGAUUUGGAUAAGCAGCUCUCGAACAUGUGUAUGCUAUUCACUUUUCAGUCCUUCAGAAAGUUAAUCCUUCAAGAAGGCGAAAAGUUGGUCCUUGUGUGGUUAGAUACACCUUAUAACCAGGCUGUAUAUGGGAUCGUCGACAAACUAGGCAAGUCUCUUUGGUGACAAAACAAUAGAAAGUAUAUUAUAUCUUCAAGAGAGACUGCUUAUAAAAAUAUCUUAAGCACAUUUUCUAAACCACCAGGGAGUUUAGUAGUACGCAUGGUGUUUCUCCCUUUUGAAGAAAGUUCAUACACUACUUUUGCCAGGUUCGCAUCAGGUUUACUUCUCUUCCUGAGUUUAGUAUGAUACAGUUUCAUUUUCAGCUCAUUGAAAUAUAGAUGGUUUAUGUUUCUCUCUCUUUCUUGGCAGGUGAUGAUUACCAGCAAAAGAGGAAGAAGCUCGGAACUUGCUUGACCGAGGCCUUGAAGCUUGUAAUGUUAAUAGGUCUAAUAUUUAUGGCGUUUGGCCCGGGCUAUUCAUACUCUCUCAUCAGAUUGUUGUACGGUGAAAAAUGGAGCGAUGGAGAAGCUUCCUUGGCGCUACAGUUUUAUUGUCUCUACAUCAUUGUCCUGGCAAUGAAUGGUUAGCAAAUCACUUCUUGAUUUUCUUGAUUUUGCGGUUACUAGUUGCAGUCUUGGUUUACUUUGUAAUUAUAUUGUUAGGAACCUCCGAGGCAUUUUUACACGCAAUUGGAACAGAGGACCAACUAAAGCGCUCUAACGACAUGUUGCUUGUGUUCUCACUGGUUUACAUCACGUUAAAUAUUUUGUUGAUAAGAUCUGCAGGAGCUAUAGGUUUAAUCUUGGCGAACUCCUUGAGUAUCCUUCACCCAUUUAUAAAUGUAGAUUCUGCAAUUAUAUUGAACUUCUUUAGAUCUUUUUGGUCUUCUUGACUUAAAAAAAAAAGAUAUGAUGUUUAGGAUUAUAUAUUCAGGACUAUUCAUCCAACGUUACUUCCAGGUAUGCUUUGAUUAAAUGAAACUGUCUACUGUAUGGUACUUUUAUUGUUGUUUAACUCCACUCUUCUCUACAGGGCGAUCCUUCUUCAUCAUUCUCGUUCAGAAAGUGUUUUCCUUCAGGUUGGCAGAUUCUUAUACUCUCUGGCGUAAUCACUGUCAUCUCAGAGAAAACCAUUCUCGACCAUAAGAACUUCUGGGCAACGUUUCCUGUCCAUUUCGCCAUCGGUUUCCUCUGCUUUUGUCUCUCAGCCAUUGUCAUGUAAGUCCUCUAUCUCCUGUGACAGGCACAAGUUCCAUUUCAAAAAAAAAACAAAAAAACAUACUCAAUGAAAUCGUGUGGUGUUUUAUGUUGAAGAUACCGGCGCGAGAGAGUGUUCAUCAAUAGAAUCAUACGGUUCAGGAAUCACGAUCAUGACGACUGAAACCAACCAAGAAACCGGUGGUUUAAGUUCGGCUAAGGAAGUAAAGCUUUUGUAUCAGUACUAAGUAGCCUUGAACUGGCAAAAAAAACUCCAAGAAAUGAUUUUAAUUCGCAAUGAAACCAUUUUUUUGCUCUUUGUUUGAAGUUAAUUUACUCAAAUGUUUAAGAAAUCGAUAUGCGGUAACUGAGCACUUUUGUAGAGGACUAGCAAGACUAUACAGAUUAUUUGAAGGCUAGACAAAGCUUAGAUUUUGUUCAAAAUCUGUUUGUAACAACCUAUUACAAAACUAGCAUCUUUGAUUGGAAAAAUAGAACAGUACUCUUUUUAAAUAUGACAAUUUGUUGUUUUAGUAUUUGCAUAUAUAAUAAAUAAAAAUUAAUAUAUUAUUUUUAUUUAUUAUUUUUUGUUUUGUUUUUGUUAUACUAGCUAAUAUGCCAUGUACCAUGUCCGGACCAAACCGUACUUUAUAAAUUUAAUCCCAUAAAACAGGUCGUGAUUCGAUCCUUUGCCUCGAAAAUAAAUAUAUUUUGGUAAAGAAUAAAGAUUCUACCUUCUUUGUGGGGACGGAAUAUUAUCUUAAUUUUUUAAAACCUUAGAAAAGGGCGAGUGGCAAAGUGCAAAAACAAGAGAAGAAUAUAAGAAAACAAACUUGGUUGACAAAAAAAAAAUAUAAGAAAACAAACUUAAAGCAUAGAAUUAGUACUUUGCUUGAGACCUUAAGACGUGCAAUGACUGCAACACUUGACGUAAGAUGUGUCUAUGUAAAGGAAAAUGCAUAAAGAAAAUAUAAUAAUAAUAUCCAAUUGUUACGCUCUCUGCGUAACGCAUGUUUAUACAUUUUGGUAAAGAUUCUAAUUUGUUUGUUGGAAUGAAAUCUAUAUUAUUAAAACGUAAUCCUAUAGAGAUUCUACCCUUAAAUUUUAAUGUUAGUGAUCCAACUAUGCAUUAAAACAACAUUUUCAUAUUUUUAAAUUUUUCUCAAAUCUAUGUGUUAACCAACCCGUACGAAAAUAUUGAAUUUUUCGGUAAAUAUUCUAUAUACUGAAGCCUAUGAUCUUUAAAAUUUUUAAACACAUUCUACAUUUGUAUUAAUGUAUAUUAAACUCCCUUUCAUGGUACAUGGACAUCGUUUUAAUUUUUUUGUCAAUUAAUUUAGUAAAACUUCAUAAUACUCCCUAAAUUGGUGGACUAACCACUGUAAAAUCGCUAUUUUCCAGAGAAACGGAAACUACAAAAGUUUCAAACCUCUUUGACCUUCAUCAUAUUUUUAGUGAAAGAUGCAACUAUGCAUUAAAACAGUAUUUUCAUAUUUUUUGAAUUUUUCUCAAAAUCUAUGUGUUUAACCCCUACGAAAAUAUUAAAUUUUUCUGUAAAUGCUUUAUAUGCUGAAGACUAUGAUCCUUUGUGUUGUUUUAAAAUUUCUAAACACAGUCUACAUUUGUAUUAAUGUAUAUUAAACUCUCUUUCAUGGUACAUGGGCAUCGUUUUAAUUUUUUUCAAUUAAUUUAGUAAAACUUCAUAAUACUCCCUAAAUUGGUGUACUAACCACUAUAAAAUCGUUAUUUUUUAGAGAAACGCAGACAACAAAAGUUCCAAACCUCUUUGACCUUCAUCAUAUGUUAGUGAAAGAUGCAACUAUUUUAAAAUCUGUGUGUUAACCUCUACGAAAAUAUUGAAUUUUUCGGUAAAUGCUCUAUAUACUGAAGCCUAUGAUCUUUAGUGUUGUUUUAAAAGUUCUAAACACAUUCUACAUUUGCAUUAGUAUAUAUUAAACUCUUUUUCAUAGUACUUGGGCAUCGUAUUAAUGUAUAUUACGCUCUCUUUGACAGUAUUAUCUUAAAUUUUAAAUUUUAGAAAAGGGCAAGUGGCAAAGUGAAAGAAUCAAGAGAAGAAUAUAAAAAAACAAACCUGAACGCAAUACUUGACGUGAGAUGUGUUCUAUAUGUAAAUGAAAAUGUAUACAGAAAAUGUAAUAAUGAUAUCCAAUCGUUACGCUCUAUAUAACUAAUGUUUAUUGUCACAAUUCACAAAUCACAACCAACUAAUAAACUCUCAAUAAAGUAUAGCCAUGGAUUCCAUGGAACAUCCUCCACCUUCUCGCCUCAUUUGCCCUUCCUUACGAGCCCAAAACAGUAUUUUUAACAAUAGAAACUAUAAAACAAUUAAAGGAAAGUUUUUUGAGAUGAUUGACAAUUCUUAUUUCUCGCACAGCGUAUCUCCACAUCAUCACCACCGCCUUGACCCCUUAUAUUGGUGCAACAACAAAGAAUCAGAAGAUGAGCCUUCUUGGUGUGUUGUCUGUCAGUGUAAGGAAUCCAGUACAACCUAUUACUUUUGCAAUGAAUGUAACGUAUCCUACCACAAAGAAUGCGUCGAGUCUCCCCCUCUAAUCAAAUCUCCUCACCACCCUAAACACCAUCUCCAACUUAUCCUGCAUAUACAGUGUUUUACUCAAGUCAUUUCAACGCAUUGCAUAUGUAAUUGUUCGUACUGUGGAUCAAGUUGUAGAGGUAAACUUACAACAUUAUUUUACUACUGUUUUAUUUGUGAGUUUAGUUUGGAUCCUGUUUGCGCAGUAAAACCCUCAUUUCUAAACUACCAAAAAAGGCAUGAGCAUACUCUAAACUACUUUCCCAGAAAAACUGAUUUGAUAUGUGACGUUUGUGGGUUUGUUGAUAGCAAAUCUCUCAUCUACGUGUGUCUUCAAUGUGAUUUUGUUGUACACAGAAAUUGCAUUUACUUUCCGUUUGUCAUAAAAAUAUCCCGUCAUAACCACCGUCUCUCUUUUACAUACUCUCCUCUUAAAGUAUUAUUGUCUUGUGGAGUUUGUCGUCAAAAGAUAGACGAAAAUUAUGGAAAAUAUUGUUGCACGAAAAAUUGCACUUACGUAGUGCAUUCGAAGUGUGCAAUUCGGAAAGAUGUGUGGGAUGGAAUAGAGCUCGAGGAAGUAGCAGAAGAAGAAGAAGAAGAAUCUGAAAAUCUCAAUUCUUUUGAAGUGAUAGGUGAUGGAAUUAUAAAACAUUUUAGCCAUUCACAUCACAUGAGGUUUGAAAAAAGGACCACUGGCUUGUUGUAUGAUGAAAAUAAGCGAUGUCAAGCAUGCGUACUUCCAUUUUAUGGUGAUGAUGUUUACAACUGUGUGGACUCCAAGUGUGAUUUUGUACUUCAUGAAGCAUGUGCAAAUCUUCCUCGGAGAAAAAAUCAUGUGGCACAUCUCUAUCCAUUUAUUCUACAAGUGAGUGACAACAAAAAUUUCUAUUGUGGAUGUUGUAGUCGUUUUUCGAAUGGUUUCAGAUAUGUGUGUUCUAAAGGGGAUGAGACUAUAAGUUUAGACGUGCGAUGUGCUGCAAUAUCUGAGCCAUUCGACCAUCAGUCUCACCCACAUCCUUUGUUUCUAAGUAAUGAACUUGGAAAAUACAGAUCAUGCUCAAUGUGCGGAAAAAAGAGUAUUCGAACUUUAAAUUGUAUCGAAUAUUGUGAUUUCUCAUUGUGCUUCUAUUGUGCUACACUCCCAUAUAUAGUGAGAUCUGAGCAUGAUGAACAUUUCCUCACCCUUUCUUACGAAGAGAAUGCAAGUCUCAAAUGGUGUGAGGUCUGUGAGGAAACAUUAGAUUCACACAAAUGGUUGUAUACAUGUAACGAAUGUGCGGUCGCAUUCCAUAUUGCAUGUUUGCUAGGGAAAUGUGCAUUUUAUGUCAAGCCUGCACAGAAUCUCUUGUACAAUGGUGAAACAAAGAUUAAUAUAACUUUGAGCAAUGGUCUCACUCGGCCCAUCUGCACACAAUGUCAAAAACGUUGCCAAGAUAAAUUAGUGGUCCAGUUCUUGGAUGAUUAUGAUGGAGAAGUUAUAUCUUGUUAUCGUCAUUGGGAAGUGAACCGGACUAAAUCACAGGAAUUCGAACGUUGGUGGAGGAAAAAGUAACAACCAAGUUGACAUGUUCUGGUUGAUAUUUAAGGCCUUCUGGGUAUGUAUUAUAAAAAGAAAAAGAAGAUUACGUAUUGUAAUAUUGUGUGUUGUUUGUAGGAGUUUACAUUAAUAUAAUUUGUAUAAUAUUUUUAUUUACUUAUAAAUAAUAGUAUAUAAUACACAGUGUAAUCGUUGAAAUUAUCAAUAUGCAAUAUAAUAAAUAAUGAUGGAGAAUUCAAGGGGAGAUUGCAUAUUUCAACCUCAACAAUUUUCAUUGUGCCUUAUAUGACUCCAAUAUUUGAUACGUGCAAAAUACAACCCAACUCGAUUAUAAUUUAAAUAGACAACCUAAAUUUUUAAAUGUGCCUAAAUCAAUUUUGAGCAAACCAACCAACCGUCACCGGUUAAAAAAACUGGUUUGCUAUUAUAUAUAUAGAGAUUAUAUUUAUAUAAAUAUUUAAGUUAUGAAUUUAAUUAUAAAAUUAUUUUGAUAAAUUAUCAAAAUUAUAAAUACAAAACAAAACAAAAUAGAAAAAUUUGUGGAUUUACUAACAUUAUUAUUUAAUUUAACAUAUUGAUUAUAACCGAUUUAAAUAGUAUAAAUUGAAUUUUUUUUUUUUUUUAAAUGUUUCAGUUACUGAAUCGAGUUACCGCCUAGACUCAUUUCUAGAACUAUAACUUGCUUAGCGGAUCAAAAUCGAAAUAAGACGGAAAAUAAAAUCAAUGCGCGAACCAGUUUCCGAUUCGGUUGGACCGGCAAACCCCAUACGGCGAAUCAAAUCCACAGUUCCGAAAUCCCAAGAAAUCAGGUGGCUGACGUGUCAUCUGAGAUAAAUGUACACGUGUCUCCUCCUUUUUUUUUUUUUUUUUUUUUUUCCCGCCAAUGCAUACAUUCACCUCAUGAACUCUCUCCCCCCACUCCUCGCACGAAGAAACCCUAGAGAAAGCUAUGGUGAUACUCUCGUUAUCGAGCGCAGGAUCUCUCAUUCCGCUAGUUCUACAGUUCUCAAGGAUCAUCAAGGUUAAUCAUUUAUUUAUGCUAAUAGACAAUUAAUUAAGUAACAAUUUAAUAAUCUUGUGUGGCUUAACAUACACUUUGUCUCUCAUGGUAUGUGUUUCAAGUCUUACUAUGUGGCCGAUCCUGAGAUUUUAAAGGCUGUAGACGAUUUAGUAAUGGUUUGAAUAAAUUUUUUUUUUUUACAAAUUUGAUAACUUAAAUUUGUUCGUAAAAUUUUGGAAGCCAUAGGCCAAUGCUUUACUAAUCUAUGUUCAGAAUCGGCCAUGAGAUUUUGGAGGCUAUAGACAAUUUAGUAAUGGUUUAUAUAAUUUUUUUUACAAAUUUGGAGCCUUAAAUUUUUUAGUAAAAUUUUGGGAGCCAUAUGCCAAUGAUUUACUAGCCUAUGUUCUAGAUUUUCCAUUGGUCAACUAAUUGAUUCAAGAGGAUUUUUGCUUAAUUUUUCUCUGCAACUUGUGUCGUGCAGGGAGGAAAAUAUCAAAUAGGAAAGAGGAGCUACGUGAACUAGUUGAGCAUUACAAUGUGAGCUCUACUCUUUGAUUAUAUAUAUGCUAUUUCCUUGAUAUAUAUAUAUAUGCUAUUUCCAGGUUUAAGUGUUAUUGUUGGUAUUUGAUACCUAUUCGUUGGAUCUACAUUGUACUUUCUUUGAUUUAGAUUGAUGUUGAGAAUCCAUGUGUGAUAAUGAGUCAAGACAAGAGCAGGGAGUUUCUACAUUCUGGAAAUGACAAAGAUAAAUUCAAGGUAUAUCCAGUUCAUCAGUAUGCAUUGAUGUAAAUCUUUUUAUUUUUUUUGGUAAUAUUGUGCUGAAAGCUAUUGUUUUGUAGUUCUUUUAUAAAGCAACCCUUCUUCAGCAAGUCGAUGACCUCCUUCUUGGUGUUGACACAAAGUUGAAAGCUGCAAGUUCUCUUAUGGAUGAAUUGGAGGAGACGAUAAAGCCAGUAGAGCAAGAGAUCAGUGAGUUGCUUGGGAAGAUAAAGACUAUGGAAAAAUUUGAAGAAAUAUAUCAACAGUUGCAGCUUUUGAAAAAGAAACUAGCUUGGUCUUGGGUCUAUGAUGUGGAUAGGGAGCUCAAGGAACAGAGUGAGAAGCUUAUGAAACUCAGAGAACGAGUGCCUACUUGUCAAGAUAAAAUCGAUCAGAAACUAGUAAGUAACAUGUCCUUUAUAUAUUACCUUAAAUUUGAUGGCUUUAGUUCCUUAUCCUGAUGCUGAUUAUAGCUGACCAUUUAUGUAGGGUGAGGUGGAGUCUUUAAGGGAGAAGCUGACCAAUAAGAAAGCUCAAGUUACAUGCCUGAUGGAUGAAUCAACUGCAGUGAAAAGAGAAACAGAGUGUUUGCGGCAAUCAGUCAAGACGGUAUGUUGAAAAAUUAGCUUCAAAAAUAUCUAAUAGUUAGCUUUAGAAAUUACCUUUGGUUGAUGUAAUAUUUUUAAGCAGGCUACAAGAGAGAAGGUUGCUCUAGAAGAAGACCACCGUCAUAAGUGCAGUAACAUCCAGAGGAUUAAGGAUCGUGUUGUGAGGCUUGAACGGCAGAUCAAAGAUAUCGAUGAGAUGACUAUAAGAAGCACACAGGUCCUCUUUCAUUUGUAUGCUCAGUGUGUAGUUGUAUAUAGUUCUUACUGUCUAAUAAUGAUUGCAGGCUGAACAAUCUCAAAUCGAAGAAAACCUGAGUCAGUUGAAGCUAGAGGCUGAGAAGGCUAAAGCAUUGCUUUUCAGGUCAUUAUAGUUUUCAUUUUUUUUUUAAACUCUUGAGCCUCUUUUUCAAUAUUUUCUUAUUUUUUAUCGCUAAGGAUUGAUUAAAUAAAAUUGCAUUCCAGUUUGAAAGAAGAAGAGAAGAUGGUAACUGAGAAAGCAUCAGUCAUAGGGAAGGAGAUAGCACUCAUAGAGGAUACGGUACGAAUCACCACCACCUUAAUGUUUUGAAGUCUUUUAAAUUUAUUUACACUCAGCUAUUUGACAUUUUGGCUUUCUAGAUUAGAGACCGUGAAAAGAAGCAAAGGAGCAUAAACACGCACAUCAAUGAUCUCAAGAAACAUCAAACAAAUAAGGUGCUUUACAUGUCAUUUAUACUCUUUUGGAGGAUGACAAUCUCGAGGAUUAGUUGGAUUAAUUUCAAAAUUCUUUUGCUAGGUUACUGCAUUUGGAGGGGACAGAGUCAUUACCCUUUUGAGAGCGAUUGAGAGACAUCAUCGCAAAUUUAAAAUGCCACCUAUUGGCCCUGUUGGUGCUCAUGUGGUAAGUUUCUCUUUGUUUUCUUAAAUGGACCAUACAUAGUGUAAAGACAAUCUGACAUUUUCAAGUGUACAAGAACAAUCUCUGCUGCUUUAGUUUGAGUUCUUCUAAUCGUGUGGCUUUCUACAGACAUUGGUCAACGGUAAUAAAUGGGCUUCUGCUGUUGAACAAGCACUUGGCAAUCUCCUGAACGCGUUUAUUGUGACCAAUCACCAAGAUUUAAUUACUCUGCGAAGCUGUGGAAAGGAAGCUAAUUAUAACAAUCUGAAGAUCAUCAUCUAUGACUUCUCAAGACCAAGGUUUAAAAUCUGAAGAAAAAAACACUUCCACUAUCUUUGUCUAUGUUCUGCUUUGAUGAAUGGGUAGCUUGAACAUCAUUGUAAUUGGUUUAUGCAGGUUAGUUAUACCAAGGCACAUGGUUCCUCAAACGGAACACCCAACUAUUCUCUCUGUCUUGAACUCUGAGAAUCAUACUGUUCUUAACGUCUUAGUGGAUGUGGUAAUCUUACUUAUUUACUAGCUUCUCAUCCUACAACCAUUGUGUGAUGGUGUUCAUUUUUAGCUUUGGUUUCUGGAUAUUUCCAGAUGGGUGUGGAGAGGCAAGUGCUCGCAGAGAGUUAUGAGGUUGGCAAGACGGUUGCCUUUGAGAGAAGGCUUCCACAUUUGAAAGAGGUUUUCACUAUCGAUGGAUACAGAAUGUAAGCAGACAGUUAGAUUUGUAGAGGAAGAUUUGCGUCUAGAUAACAAUACUCUUCUCUAUUCUUGGCUCAGGUUUUCCCGUGGGCCUGUUCAGACAACUCUUCCUCCCAGUGGUCGAAGACCGACUCGUCAUUUUGUCUGAAACAUUUGGCUUGUUUUUACAAUCCUUAAAUAGUCAUUUUGCAUAUGUUUUGUUCUUUUAUGUUACAGAGACAAUGCACCCAUCUUGAGAAAGAUUUGACAAGAAAGGAACUUGAGUUGCAGGAUCUGAAAAACUCAGUCGCUGCUGAAACCAAAGCAUCACCUACCUCAAGUGUUGAUGAACUUCGUCUAGAAAUAACGGUUAGUUUUAUUGGUUGAAACCACUUUCCACCCCCAUAGCAUCAUUCCUUAAGCAUUCUCCUCUUUGUAUUUCUCAGAACUCUCGAGAAGAGAUAGAUGAGAAAGAAUCCUCCCUGCAAAAGCUCCAAGACUGCUUGACGGAAGCUGAACUAAAGGCUAAUGAACUUAAAGCUGCAUAUGAAAACUUUAUCGGUAUGUUGACAAUACAUUUUAUUUUUAUUGGAUCAUCUUGAGCAAGCAACAUUAACUUUUUUUUCUUCCAAAACUUGUAUUUAGAGUCAGCCAAGAGUAAAGUUGACGUCUUUGAGGAAGCAGAGAAUGAGCUAAAGGAGAUUGAAACGGGGCUCGAAUCAGCAGAAACGGUACAACCGUCUUAAAGAGUUUGGUUCUUAACUUGUGUUUGCAGUUAGAAAACUGAAGUUUUUUUAUUCUGUUUCAGGAUAAGAACCAUUAUGAAGAUGUAAUGAAAGACAAGGUCUUACCUGAUAUUAAAGUGGCUGAAGCUAAACAUAAGGAGCUUCAAGCCAAGCGGCAGGUAAUAAGAAUAAACAGUUAUUGCUCUUUGUUCCAUAAUUUUUUUAAUAUUUUGUUCUGACUGCUGAAACUUUCAGGAAAGUAAUGAGAAAGCCUCCAUAAUAUGUCCUGAGAGCGAGAUAAAUGCUUUAGGUAUUUGGGAUGGGUCCACACCAAUUCAGCUUAGUGCUGAGAUUAACAGAAUAAAUCAUAGACUGAAGCGAGAGAGUGACAAGUGCGUAUCUUUUUUUGCCUUGUGAUUGUACCUAUACCCGUUGAAUGCAUGUUUAAACGUUACAUGCAUCUUUUGUUGUGUUCAGGUAUUCUGAAUCAAUCGAUGACCUCAGGAUUACGCUUGAGGAAAAAGAACAUAAGAUUGGGAGAAAACGCAGAACUUACCAGAGCUUUCGAGAAAAACUGAAGGUAUAUAAUUUCAAUAUCCAAAGUUUUCAAUAUAUAUUCUAAUCAGUUAAUCCACACUGUUUAAUCAGGUGUGCAAAGAUGCGGUAGAUUCACGGUGGAAGAAGCUCCAACUCAACAAAUAUGAUACGGCGAGCAUGUUAACUUGGGGGUGUGAAUUGUUUUAUUCAAUAUUGUGAAUAGGUUUUAGCUCUAACCUUUCCUUUUGAUUGGUGAUCUUCAAAGCAGAUUCAACAAACGCUUAGGAAAAAAAGGAAUCAGCGGACAAAUCAAGGUCGCUUAUGAAGACAAAACUUUGUCCAUAGAAGUAAUUAGCAACAUAAUGCUACAUUUUGCAUCUUGAUGUGUCUAUAUUAUUUCCUUUAAUCAACUGACUGCUGUCAUAUUUAUUCUUCAACAGGUUAAGAUGCCUCAAGAUGCAACAAGAAGCGGUGUUCGAGACACUAGAGGACUUUCAGGUCUGCCUCUCUACUCAAUUUGAAUUAAGACUUAGUACAAGGGUGUUCUAAACAUGGUUUAACACAUGAGAUUGCAUAAAAGCCCUUGAAGACUUAAAAGAAGAUUGUAAAAACAUUUGAUCAUCUUAUUGCUCCAUAGAGAGUCUAGGCAGCUUGAGAGUUUGAUCAAUCCCAUCUCUUGUCAUAAAAUUGCAGGUGGAGAACGGUCUUUCUCGACUCUAGGCUUUACAUUAGCACUUCACGACAUGACUGAGGCUCCAAUUCGAGCAAUGGACGAGUUUGAUGUCUUCAUGGUAAUCUCCACAUCACUCAUAUUAUUACAUGCAGUUGUCAUACUUUUUUAGCCUGCUUAGACGCCUAAAAAGAGAGCGGUUUAUGGCAAAAUAUUCAGGACGCAGUAAGCAGGAAAAUAAGCUUAGACACGUUGGUUGAUUUUGCAUUGGAGAAAGGUUCACAGUGGAUGUUCAUCACUCCUCAUGAUAUCAGGUAAACAAAUACUAACUUGUUCCACUUACUGGAGAAACAAAACCACAGCAUAGUAUUGUAACCUCUUCUCUUUUUGGCAAUGACAGUAUGGUGAAGUCACACGAGAGGAUAAAGAAGCAACAAAUGGCUGCUCCUCGUUCUUGAACCUCCAAAAAAAAAAAUCUAAUUGUAAAUGGUGAGUGAAUGAGGUUGUUCUGCUAUCAUCAUCCACUUACUAAUUUUAAUUUUUUGUACUUUUCUAUCCAUAUUUAUUGAAAUUUUUCUUUUUGUCAGCAUCUAUAAAUAGAAAUCAUUAAAUAAAUUAAUAAAAUCUAGUGGUGCUUCAUGUUUUGGAUCAUGAACAAUGAGAGUGACAGGUUUCAACUAUAUGCAUAUGAGAGAAAGACAAAAAUUUAAUUAAAUUAAAUAAACUAAAAAUCACAAAUAAAAGAAGUGAUUGCAAUUUUUCACAAAGCUUCAAACUUUCCAGUUUAAUUGCAUAAAAAUCCGUCAAAAGUUUCAAUCUUUCUCGGGAAAGUGAACCCAUUUUCCUCCAGAGAAACGAUUGGUUUCAGGGAAUGUGAAGCGAAACGAUGUCGUUUUCGGGGAAGAAGAAGGAGACGAGUCCAGUUUCGCCAUUGAACAAACGAAGAGCAAGCUGGUCAGAGCUUUGGGUUAACCACCACCACCACCACCACUUACUCUCUCCUCCUCCUCGAAUCCCCAAAUCCGAUCUCACCCUUCUCUUAUCCGACCCCACUCUCCUCGCAAUCAUCGCCAAGGUCCCUUCACCUCACCGAAAGACUCUGUCUUUGGUCUGCAAGAGAUGGCUAAGACUCCACGGUACGCUUGUACGGUCGAUUAAGGUGUCGGAUUGGGGAGUUCUCGAGUCUGGUCGGGUUGUCUCUAGGUUUCCUAAUUUAGACAACGUUGAUUUGGUUGUCGGAAGGUGUGGUGGGUUAGUUUCGUUUACUGUGGGUGUUGGGUGUUACCAAAGUGAAGACUUUAUUGAGGAGGAGAGACCCUUGUCUGCUGAAAUUGUUGAUAGAGGGUUAAGGGUCCUUGCAGGUGGCUGUUCUAGUCUCAGGAGGCUUGUGGUGGCGAACGCUAGUGAGCUAGGGCUGUUGAGUGUGGCUGAAGAGUGUACGAGGUUGCAAGAGCUUGAAUUACACAAGUGUUGUGACAAUGUUCUGCUUGGAGUUGGUGCGUUUGAGAAUCUGCAGAUACUGAGAUUGGUUGGUUUGGUUUCGGAUAUUGGUUUGAUGAUUGUGGCUCAAGGGUGUAAGAGGCUUGUGAAGCUUGAGCUCGUUGGAUGCCGAGGAGGGUUUGAUGGGGUUAAGGAGAUAGGCGAGUGUUGUCAGAUGCUUGAGGAGUUUAGUGUUUGUGAUCAUAAGAUGGAGGCAGGGUGGCUUGGUGGUCUUGGGUAUUGUGAGAAUCUCAAGACGUUGAAAUUGGUUUCUUGUAAGAAGAUUGAUUGUGGUUUUGGUCUAGGUGAGUGUUUGAGUCGUUCUUGUCCUGCGCUGGAGCGGUUGCACUUGGAGAAGUGUCAGUUGAGAGAGAAGGAUGCAGUAAAGGCUUUGUUUAAGAUGUGUGAAGCAGCGAGGGAGAUUGUUUUUCAAGACUGUUGGGGAUUGGAUGAUGAUAUCUUCAGCUUGGCAAUGGCUCUUAGGUACUGACAAAAACUUUGUUUCCUCUUAAAUGCUUUUGUGGUUUGGUAAUAGUGAGAAUAUGAACUGGUAUGAGUAACCUGGGGGUUCGGUUUCUUCGGUUAGUUCGACCGAAGUGAACCGAAAAGAAAUAUCCGGUUCGGUUUUCGGUUAGUUUGUUUUCAAACUUUUCUACCAAAGUUUUUGGUUUUCGGUUAAAUUUUCUGUUUAAAUUGAAUAAAAUUUGAAAUUUUCGGUUAAUUUCGGUUUUUUCAAUUAUUUCGGCUCGAAUUUUGGUUAGUUUGGAAUUCGAAAAAUCCUCCUCCUAUAUGUUUUGAGGUUUGAAUAUUUAUUGUUUGGUUGCUUUGCAGGAGAGUGAAGCUUCUGUAUCUAGAAGGAUGCUCAUUACUAACAACAUCAGGUCUUGAAUCAGUGAUUCUACAUUGGCAUGAGCUUGAACAUCUGAAAGUGGUUUCUUGCAAGAACGUUAAAGAUUCAGAGAUCUCUCCGUUGCUCUCAGCAUUGUUCUCAGACUUGGUAGAGUUGCAGUGGAGACCAGACACUAGAUCACAUCUCUGGUUGAGCCUUACAGAGAGUGGAAUUGGGAAUAAAGGAGGAAAGUUUUUCAAGAAAACAUAGAAAGUUUUAUUUUCCAACACUGAAACUGUUUCUCUUCAAUGCUUUUAGAAACUUUCUUAAGCUUUUCAGUUUCUUGUUGAACAAAGUAGCAAUUGCUAACUAUAAUGAAUAGUGUUAUUUUCUAAAACCUGAUCACAAGUAUUUGAACAUUGAUCAAUGGCUACUUCUUGGUUGAGUAUGUACAUGAAGUUAUAGGUACCUCCGAGCUUGUGGAUUUAAUACAAAAAAAAAUGUGACAAAAAGGGUAAAAGUGGAGAUGCGGGGUAUCGAUCCCCGUACCUCUCGCAUGCUAAGCGAGCGCUCUACCAUCUGAGCUACAUCCCCCUUGAUGUGUCAUAGUUAUGCAUGACUAGUUAUUUAGACUCUAAACCUAUUUUCAGUUUCUGUAAAAAUAGAAUAUAGAAUGAGCAAGUGUUAAUAACUAAUCCUGAAAUAAAACUUCUUCAAAACUUCUAGAUAACCAACUUAGAAGAAAAAGAACUGAUGUAUUCCAUUAAUGAGAAAUGUGUACAUGUGAGGUUCAGUUAUAUGCAAUGUAGCCUAAUUAGGCCAGUAAACAAUAUAAUAGUGUUACAGCUUGAAUUAGGUUUUCUUAAGUGGUUUAGGUUUAUCCAUAUAUACAUAUAUCAUUCUCUUUUUCGUUUUGUACCAGGAAUAUCACAUGGGCCGGCUUUGUUCUAAACCAGACAAUUUUCAUUUUUGGUAUCUUGUAGUAAUAUAUAAUGUUUUAUAAUAAUAAUAUGGAGUUCCCAAAUACUUAUCUCUUUUUAACCAUAUUGCAAUGUAUGCAUGUGAUAUACCAGACAACACCUUUCUUUACUUCUUCUUUAUCAGGUUGUAUUUGAAUAAUUAAACAUGCUGUAAUAACAGGUUACAAGUUCCCUUUUUCUUAGCAAGAGGUAACUAUCUUUAAGUUCAAAAAAAAAGAAAGAGUUAACUAUCUUUUUUUCUUCUCUUCUUUGAUGAAGAACACAUUCAUCGGCCAUACUUCAGAGAUCUAAUAUAUAUAUGGCUGUGCCAAUCUCUAUUUCUCAAACAGAAGUUAAAAUUGUAAAAUAUACAAAAAUCACAAUUUUAGAAUCAUUUUGACACACUCAUACAUACACUAUAGUAACAAAACCUGCAUAAAACGGUAGAAAACUUGAAAAGCUAUCACUUAUCAUGCACACAUGUAUAUAUGAUCUUUUCAAAUAUUUGAUCCAAUAACAAUACAUUUUAGAUUCAUUGUCUAGUAGAUCUGAAAUCCUUAAAGAUUAUGAGCUACUAUACGUUUUGAUACCGAUCGGAAUCAUCACCAAGACUCAUAAAAUGUGUAAAAUAUGCGUCUAUUAUGUACAACAUGGAUAUAGUGCAAUACGUCUAGUCAGUCUUCCAUCAUUUCCUAUAGUGUUUACUUUAUCCAUCUCGUCUAAAUCUCACGUAUUGUUGGCCAUAUGUACUCUUCUUCUUUUUUUUCUUUGUUCGUUCAAAGAGAUGCACACCAAGAACGGCUACGCUCUUAAUUAAUUGGCUCUCGCAGCCACCAACGGCCAUGUAACUCCAGAGCAGUACUUCCCAAACAAGGUCAACCAUCGCUGCAUCGGUAAUUCCUUGAUUAGCUUUCAUUUACACUACGUGUCAAUUACUAACUGGUUAAUAGCUGGCAUCUAACAUUGUUUAUGUGUGAUUACUGAUUAGAAUCGGCAUGACGUUGCAGAUGUGGACAAGUUGACUAUGCUAAUGACCGGAAGUCUUUGGGAUCACUCGAGAAACAGCCAUACACGUGGUCUUGUCUUAUUAGAUCUAUUUCCUUAAAUAGAAAUAUUAGUAGCUUUCGUACCAACCUAAUUUGCAACAUUUUCUAUAAAUAGAAUGUUAAUUUAUUAGACGACCAAAUCUUAUUGGAUCUGUUCUUUCCUCACCCCACGAUUUGUUGAUUAGAAUAUUAUCGUCUGAUCCACUAUUUUGCCAGACAAGUUUGUCAUUACUCCUGGCUUUAAAAUUAGAAUGAGAUUAAUUAAAGAUUUUCUUAUAAGAUCGUAGGGAUUAUCACCUUUUUAGAAAAGAAGAAGCCUAUUAAGAUUGGUACUUACUUUAACGGGGUAAAGUUUUUUACAGAAAAAUAACUUUGAUAGUUCAUGCUAAACGUAUAUGGUUUCCGUAUUUACUAUGUAUGUACAGAUAUAGGGUAUGAUACGUAUUUUGUUUUUCUAUCCGAAACUACAUGCAUUAUCAUCUGCCACCUCCAAUAUUUGGUUUAAUAAAUGAAAAAUAUUUUAUUUUAUUUUAUUUGAGGGAAUAUACUAGGUCACUAAAGUAAAGAAUACACCUUUGAAAUUUUCUAAUUAUUCUGUGCAUAAUGGAAGCACCCGCCUCACCUUCUUCUUUUUUUUGCCUCACCUUGAUACACCUGAAAGUUUUUAGACAGAUUUUAAACAAUUUAUAAUAAAAAUUAUCGAAAAAAGAGGAGAUGAUAUUGAAACAAUGAACAUUAUAAGUCAGUUUUGACCUUUUUUACCUCGUUAGGCACCGUUAGUCAACAGUAAAAUAACACCCAUUUGACAGAUAAUCAAACAAAAUUAAAGAACCCUAAUAGUAACCGCAGAAACACCAUUUGUUGUCAAUCAUAUUCAUGCCUUUCUGGCGAGCUGUAUUUAAAAAAAUAAUUAAUAUUAAAUAUUAUGGAAUUUUAAUAAAUGAUGUCGAGUCAUCAGAACUUCAACAAUUAAUUACUUGUAAUGACAUGCACUGUCCUCUUCGUCAACGUUUUUAAAAAAUCAAUGAAUUUGAUGAAUUCCGAAAACGCUUACAAUCAUAAAUCUCUUGAAUCACAUAAAUAUAACUUCAUAAUUUAAUUUUACUCACUGAAAGUCUGCCAUUAUUCAUUGUAUAACUUAACAACGAAAAAAAUGAAUUUUCAUUAUAACGUUAAUUAUAAUUAUUCUCAAAUCUCGACGCGUUAUAUUCAAUCAUUCAAAGAACCAAAAAGGCAAAAACUAAGUCAAGUCUAUUAAUUAAUAUAUCCGAAUAUAGUUUUAUCAAUUUCAUUUAAAUAACAAUUGCAUUUUUUUUUUAAAGCAGAAAAGGUUUCUUUCUUUUUAAAAAGGGAAAGUGCUAAACAACCUAGCCAAGUUGCGUUACAUGCUACGUAUCUUCCUCCCCUCACAAAAUAUGGAUAUAUAAUUAUUUUUAUUUUAUUUCAUACACAUAAAAUUUGUAUAUUGAAAAAAAGGAUCAUUUUCGUCAAAAGAAAUUCUACCUUUCGAGUUCCAUUUAGUUCCCUUUUUUUAGUUCCUCUGCAUAACUUCUCUUUUCACAUCUACUCUCUCUCUCUACAUUUAUAUCUAUAUAUAUUCUCUGAACCCAUCUUACAUUCAAGAUCAAAUAAAAAAAAAAACUUUUGAGAAACACAACUUUUCUAUCAAAUAAGGUUUUGUUUUUGUUGCUGGAUCAGAUAUUUGCUUUUCUUUUAGGGUUUAAGGUUUCUUGGGUGAUAGAGAAAGAUGGAAACUUUUGGUGGGUUUCACAAGGAAGAUGAUGAGCAGAUGGUUUUGCCUCCUGGGUUUAGGUUUCAUCCAACAGAUGAAGAACUCAUAACCCACUAUCUUCACAACAAGGUUCUCAACAUUGAUUUCUCAGCUAAAGCUAUUGGUGAGGUGGAUUUGAACAAAGCUGAGCCAUGGGAGUUGCCAUGUAGGUUAUAACAAACCAAGUUUUUUUUUAACAUCUCUGAUCUAAAUAUCAUUUUUUUGAGAUUCUUAUGUGUGUUGGACUUGUUCUUCGUGUCCUUUUUUAGCGCUGGGUGGUUAAUUAUGCUAUGAAUGUAAAAUAUCAUUUGUUCUUGAUCUAAAUAUGUUUUGUUUUGGUGUUUGUUUUGGUUAAUAGAUAAAGCAAAAAUGGGUGAGAAAGAAUGGUACUUCUUCUGUGUGAGGGAUAGAAAGUAUCCAACCGGUUUGAGGACUAACCGGGCAACUCAAGCCGGUUAUUGGAAGGCAACAGGGAAGGACAAGGAGAUUUUCAGAGGCAAAUCACUAGUUGGUAUGAAGAAAACACUUGUUUUCUACAGAGGAAGAGCUCCAAAAGGGCAGAAAACAAACUGGGUGAUGCAUGAGUAUAGGCUUGAUGGGAAACUCUCUCCUCACAAUUUGCCCAAAACCGCCAAGGUAAACCUAAACUCCAAGCUUUGCUCUGUUUCUUUGCUCUGUUUCUUGCUUUGUUUGAUAGAUUUUUUUGGUUUGAAUCCAUUUUGGCAGAAUGAAUGGGUGAUAUGUAGAGUGUUUCAUAAAACUGCUGGAGGCAAGAAGAUCCCUAUUUCGACUUUAAUGCAAAUCGGUUCUUAUGGAGGUUGUAGUUUACCACCUUUAACCGAUUCUUCACCAUAUAACAAUGACAAAACCAAGAACGAACCGACUUACGUGCCCUGCUUCUCCAACCAAACUGAAACCAGAGGAACAUUACUUAAUUACUUCAGCAACAACCCUGCCCUUAGCUCUAUUCCACUAUACCAACCUCACUCUCUCCAUGUUUCUGAUCCGGUUCUUGCUCAAGAACAAUCGGUUUCUCAAGGGAUGUUUGAGAAUAACCGAAGGCAGAGCUUCAAAACGUUGAGUAUCUCGCAGGAAACUGGAGUUUCUAAUACCGAUAUUGAAUUUGGGAGGAAAGCAUUUGAUCAUCAAGAAGUUCCGUCUUCCUCUACCGGUCCGGUUGAUCUUGAACCAUUCUGGAGUUACUGAAGACUCAAAAGUUCAUUAUCUUAGGUGACAUGUAAGAAGAACUUCGCAAAGUGUUUUUUAUUUUUUUUCCUUUUAGCGUGGUGUGCUAAGUUUGUAUAGAUUAUUAUAUCACAACCUCAUACUCUUUAGUGUGUUUUUAUUAUUAUUUUAUUCAACUGAAACUUGAUAUUAGAGAGAAAGGAUACAGCAACUAAUUUCGUUAAUUUUUUUUUUUCGAAAGUUUACAUGCAUUAUGGUGAACAAAAUCAAGAACUAUGAGUUCAGUGCAAUACUAUACUCUCUUUUUUUUUGACAAAAACAAUACUAUACUCUUUCAUUUAAAUGCUCAAAUCUGUGAAUUGUAAUCAAGGUAUAUGGUUUUUGGCUUCAUCGAAAUAUAUAGUUACGAAUCGCUUUACAGUAAACCUUGUUUUAUGAAAUUAUUCAUAUGUCAUAUCAUUUUUUCGGAUUUUAUGAUGAAGCAAUCCAUAUACAUGAGUAGUAUAGUUUGACUAGGCAAAAUCGAAUGAAACAUUGGUAUCUAGGCUCCAAACUUUUUGAAAAAAAAUACAUAGACAUAGACCUCUAAAUUUAUAAGACAUACUCUCUCAUAUUUGUAAAAAAAUAAUUAUUGAAAUCUUUACUUAACUGCGGUAUCCCCUAAAAUUUGACUGCCGGCCCGAGUUAAUAUAAAAGCACAAUGCAUACUCGCGCAUAUAGACCACAUGCACCGAUGAGGCGAUGACAUAACAUAUGUAUCAUAUGAAUUAUGAUACAAUGACUAAACAUGGCUAGCAUUAUAGAAUCAUAUAUCAAAUAAUUUCUAUAUUUUAAACGAAAGAACAUGAAAACUACCUACUAUUUCUACAAAUAGUGUCUAAUCAAACAUAUAAUUAACCACUUUCUUUUGCUGCCGUUGUCGCCAAAAUGUUCACGUUUCAAGUCGCUCAUAAAAUAGCAGACGUUUGUAACGCUGUGAAACCUAGCUAGCUAGCUUAGUAUUCAUGUUCAUACGGAACGUACAGUCGCAUAAGGAACUUAUUUUCUGAACUAGCUAUCUGAAGUCUGAACUUAUUGUCGACGUAAACUUCUUUUCUGAUAUAUAUAUAUAUUAACUUGCUCUAACGCAUAUAUUAGUCUAGUACUGAAUUUGAACCGAACGUACAGUCGCAUAAAGGAACUUAUUUUCGACGUAGACUUUCCAAACAAAAGCAGAUCCCAUAAUGUGAGACGCCAGAAGUAGGUUUCCGACAAUUUCAUGUCAUUAUGUAUAUUCGUACAUCUACUAUAAGAUAGUGGGGAUAUAUCAUAUACUUAUCUUUCCUUUAGUUAAUAAAUAUCUUUAAAAACUUCAUUUCCAUGAAAAUGAAGCAAAAAUUCCACGCAAUAAAUGAAUGUUAUCAUGUAUGUAAUUACUGUUUUAAAGAACUAAAUCAAUAUUCUUUAAACACUCCAACACAUGAACAACACUUUUUAUUCCAUCUGCUUUUGAAGUAAAGGGAUCAUCUAAUUAGUUUCGUUGCUUAUCGAUUCUCUUUCAUUUUCCUCAUGAAGAAUCUAUUCUGUUAUAAAGUUGUUACGCGUGAUGUAUGAAAUGUACAUAUACACGUAUACUAAUAUCAUACUUUGAGCAGUUUCUCACUAUUAUUAUCUUGAAGUCUAUAUACUUUCGACUAAGAAUAUAGUUUACAUAUUUAUAAAAUAAAACCGGUCAUGAUAAUAACUGCUGAUACCUUUAUCAAACUGAUAGACCACAGAAUAAGAUAGCAGAAAUAGAAUAAAUGAUUGAUAAUAUGAUUGUAGGUAAGAUAGUUGUACAAAACUAAUUAAUCUGGGGUUUAUAAAAACAAUUUACAGUAGUAAGCACUAAUCAGAAUGAAGUAGUCACGUGUUUAAUGUGAUCUACUACAAAAAGAUGAAUUUGAGUUCCACACAACAUCUUUCAUAAUCACUUAUGUAAUACAUAAAAUGCCCAUUUUGAAGUUUGGAUAAUAACGGAAUAAAAGUUGAUUAACUCGAGUUUGCCUUUCACAACCAGAUUCUCAAACCCCUAAAACACUCGAAAUAAGUUUUGUAUUUUGCUAAUUACAGAUACGUACAUACUUCAGAUGAAUCUGAAAUCUCACCCCUCAGUUAAUUCCGUACUUAACAUGAAUACGUAUACUCACGUGUCGUAUCUCAGUAAUUAGUGCGCUAUCUUACUUCAACUUUCUUUUUUACUGAUUUUAUUUAUUUUCCACUCGUUUAUUUUCCAGUUAGAACAGACAAUUAUUAAUACUCUCGUAAGACGACAAAAAAGAAAAAGAAAAAACUCUCGUCAUCGUUAACAACUCCCAUGUUUCUCACUUUCUCCUUAUCCUCUGCUUAUAACGACUUUAACGAAUUUCCCAGUGGGCUUCUUAAUAUGGGCCAUUCCUUAUCGGUGUUUUGGGCCUGCCUACGCAAGAUCACAAUCUGCUUCCAUAUAGAGUUUCAAAUAGGCCUUGGCCGUCUGGGUCUUCAGGUCGGAUUCGAGCUGGUUCCUUUUGGAUCCUAAAUAUUUAGAUCCAACGGAUACUUAGAAAUUUUCGGUCCGGAUCGGUUAUUCUCGGAUCCGGAUCGGUUCGGGUCUAUAAUUAAAAUACCCAUAAAAUACCCGUAAUUUUUUGGGUCCGGAUCGGGUUCGGGUAUUUAAAAUCUGAAAAUGAAAUGACAUACCUAACUCCAUCAAAUUUAGUCGAUAUUUGUCAUAUAUAUUUAAAAUUUUAUAAAAUAAUUUAAAUAAAACUAUUAAUAAUUAAAAUAAAAUAUUUUUAAACUCUAAAUUUUACAUUUUAAAGCUUCAUAUUACUUAAAAAUGUUACACAAUAAUAACAAACUAGGUUAAGAUCUGCGCCUUACGCGGGAUAAAUAUUAUAUAUAAAUUAAUUUUACAUAUUUUAUGAUCUUUUAUAUAUUAUUAAAUAAUAUAUAUAUAUACAUAUAUAUUGAUAAUUAAAAAUUCAGUAACUAUUACAUAUAUGAUUAAAUUGGUGCAAACACAAAAAUAAAUUUUAUUAAUUCAAAAAACACUUUUCUAUUUUAUAUGAUAUAAAAUUAGAAUUUUAAUGAUAUUAACAUAAAUAUAUAGUACAUUUUUAAUAUUGAUAUCUGUUAAAUAAUAUUUUACACUCAUAUUAUUUUUUGAUAAUUUGUAUUUUUUAUAACAAAAAUUUCGAAUCAGUGAUAACAAAUUGAUUUUGUGGGAUGUUUAAUAGUUUUAGUCAUUUAUAAUUUUCAAAACAUUAUGAAAAGUUUUAAAACUAAAUAUUAAGUUGUCAAUAUUUGUUCAAAACUUUUAUCAAAAAAAAUCAAAGCAGAUUUCGAAAUUAAAAUACAUAUGUAUUUUUAUAUGGUACAUAAUUUAUUUUAAACAAUAUUAAUAUAUUAAUAUUUAUUAAUGAGACUUCUUAUUAUAUAAUUUUGUAAUCAUUUAUAUCUUGUUAUAUCUUAUUAUAUAAAAAGUAAACCAAGAAUCAAAAAAAUUUCAAUGUGAGAUUUUUUAAUAAUUUUAGUCAUUUAUAGUUUUUUUUUAAAGUUUAAAAUAUAACAUAUACAAAAAAAUCUAAAUUUUUACUAUAUAGUUAAUGUGGUUGUUUAAAUUAUUUUAAUAGGUUAAAAUUUAAAAAAAUGAUAGAGAAUAGACUAAUUUUUAUCAAAUCUUUAUUAUUCAAAAUCAUUAAUUUUCAUAUAUACUUUAGCCACAUUUGUUAAUUCUGUUAUUUUUAUUUAAGGAAACAAUGAAGAACAUUAAUAAUUAAGUUAUAAUUAGUUUAAUAAAAAGUUUAUUAUAUAUUUUCAUGGACCAACAUAUUUUUCUAAAGAUUCUAAGAAUAAUUGUGGUGAUGACAAGUGGCUACAAAAAAAUGUUAUAAUGCUUCUCUUUUAAUAUAUAAGAGGAUGUUGUUAACAAAAUAUAAUUCAACUAAAUCAUAAAAUAAUAUAUAUAAAAUAAAACACAAAAAAUCAUAGUUUAUAUACAUGUUUUUAAGUCGGAUACAAAUUGUUCUUAUCGGGUCGGAUCUAUUCGGGUCGGGUUUUUUCGGAUCCGGAUCUAUUCGGAUCGGUUCCUUUCGGUUCCGGUUCUUUCCGGAUCAGUUCCGGUUCGGUUUUCGGAUCCAGUUUAAAAUGCCCAAGCCUAGGUUCAAACAUGACACAUCUAAAAGUUGCUAGUACGGAGACAGACAUUUUAUGGUCAGAUAAUCAUCUCGAGUCAGACAGAACCAUGUCGUUCUUACGAAUACUUGUGAGAAAAGAUUCUGAUAAUUAGUUUUUCUCAUUCGUCUGGAUCCUACUAACCUAGAAAGAACAAUGAUGAUAUUGUGGUACGAUACAAAGUUACACACUAAGCAAAAGAUAAAAUGCUCUACAUCUCUAUCUCUCUAACCUGGAACCUAUACAACACUUCAACCUAUCAAAAGUCCUGGCAGGAAAGAAUCCUAAUUUACAAGUUAGAAUUUAAUCAAUGUGGAGUCAGUCAUGUAACGUGGGAGUGGUGUAAAGACCUGCCUUCUUAUAUAUCCUUGAAUGGUUCCCUCGAUAGCCCGCCCCAGGACCCGAGCCAGUUUUAACCGCCCUGUGCCACUCAGGCGGAAAGGUUACUUGAACAGCACCACCUCCACUGGCAUAAACAACCCACCACCUUUGCUUCUUCACUUGAAGGCGGAUUUUUGCAAAAAUAAGAUUUUAAAGUUCUUUUUUGUUGGGUCAGCUAUCAUCAACUGGUUUCUUUGUGAGACUGACUCCUUUCGCCUUCUCCAUUUCUGCUUCCUUGGCUGCUUUCUUCUUCUCCAGUUCCUCUUGCUUGAUGUUCUCUUCAUGUGCUUUCUUGAAUAGCCUUAUAAAAUUCAAGAGGGUCGCAGUAACUGCAGCAAUCCAUCACCCAGGUGUUGUUAUUAACUAGCUAAUAUAAUAACAAUGAACAACGUUCUAAUGUAUCAACAUUAUGCAAACCUUGUUCAAAUGGACAACGUUUGGGAUCUUCUCCAAAAUAAUAUGCAAGUGCAUCAGCAUUAUUGCCCUGUCCAUUAAAAAGACAAAUAAAGAUUACUUCAGGAUCAAAGGUAUUGUCACAUGUAAGACCUUUUGGGAUCUAGUAGAGGUUGAAAAAUUACCACGACCGAGUAAAGACUCGAUACAGUUGCCACUUCAGUAGUAGCAACGGAAAUGAAGUCCUUCAAUGUCUGUUAUCAAAAACAUAAAACUACAUUUUAGCAUCCGGAAGUAGUUGUCUUUAAGAACAUCUAAAAUUCAUGAAAUAUGAAGAAAAACAUACUUUACGGAAAACUUCAGAAACAGGACCAUCACUCUCGGAUGCAGUGAGCUCCUGGUUCAGUUUCUCCAACCCUUUGAUAAUAGCUUGCAUUUCUUCAGCCAGUGACUUCAAUUGUAUCUAAAAUCAACAAAAAAAAAAUCAAAUGAUUGAGCCAGUUACAACCAAUGGAUAGAGGAAAGAUAAAGCACAAAGCCACAAAGGCAAACCUUUGAAGCUGAUUCAAGACUUCCAAGAUCCUUAUGGAAGUCCAGUAGAUCUGAUCCCUUGGAAGCAAGGACCUGUAGAAAGAGAUGUUCAGACCAUUUUCUAAAAACAACUCUCAACAGAAGAACCUUAAAGACUGCUUUUUGAGAUUGUGAUUUUUACCUUGCAAAGAUAGUGCAUGAGAGUCAUCUUGCUGUUAGCAGCACGUGUAUCGCUUAGUUUUAACAAACUGUCCAACUUGAAUCCCACUGCAGCGCCUGCACAGAAAGCAGAACAAUGGUUUUUAUCAACCACAAAGGAUAUGCGGGUCAGACAAAACAGGUAACAAAGGCACCAUUCUUGGAUCAAGCCCACAUUCAACAGGAAAUGUUCUGAGCAAAAAGAUGUAAAACAAUAACAAAAGAAUACUUACCCCUCGCAGUUCCUUGGUUCAAUGUGUUCCCCAGAUAAAGAAUCUUUUUCAUAAUCUCUUUUAGCUUUUGUGAAGUACGAACCUGAUGAACAAGCAAUGAGGAGAAAAAAAGUCUAAGAAAGAGAAAUAUAAUAUGGACUAAAGAAAAUAUUAGAGUUAAGUUCUUGCAAGCAUCUAACCUCAUCACACGCAGAAUUUACCGCAUUUAAACUUUUUUUGAAUUCUUUUAUCUGCACAAAGAUCAUCAUUAACAAUAAGACCACUAAUUCAAAACUACAUAGACACUAAUUCAAUAACAGUAACGCCACCGGACCUGAGUGCCGAAUUGAAUCUUGAAGGAAAACACUCUCAUCUUCGAUUCUACUCGUGGCACCUUCAUUAGCUCUAGGAAGUACUGCGGUAACCAAAUGAUAAGAGCAGACCAAAACGUAUUAGCUAAGGAGAUUGUUCAAAGUUUAAAACUAUCUCAAGAUUCAAACAGACCUGCUCACACUUUCCCAAGGUCGCCUUGUCACCAGUGUAGUUCUACAGCAAAACAGUCAAUAACAACCAAGAUUGAGGAACCAAGAAGAAUGAUAUAUUUCACACAAGACAUCCGAAAUAAAGACAAAAGCCAAUACCUUCAGAAGUUCCAUCUCUUCCUUGGUUGGACAAAACUUUAUAAGAUUCUCUAUUUGAUCAAUAUCUAGUACAGUAUCAUCCAUUGCUAGAACUGCAGCCUGGUUGAUGAAAAGAAAAUUGUGAACAAUGAUCAUACUUGUACUCAACUAAAGCAUGUUUGGAGCUUACCAUCAUAUCAGGAAGCGGCAUCUUUACUUUCGUAAGCAUAAUUUCCGUAUUAUUGGCUCUCCUAAGAUCAAUCUGAAAAUCAGAAGAAAUAUAAUUAUCUUUUACAGCAGGUGAUACUCAGAUUCCAGGCACAUGAACAAAGUCUCCACUAGAAAAAGCGUACGUAAUCUGGCAAUAACCAAGUCUUUAGAAUAAUUUAACAUUACCAGUUGAACUUUUUCAGGUUUUGCCCCAACAGACUUUCUUCGACCUCCAGCUUUAUCAACCGGCUUUGGCACUAUAGCAGAGAAAAGGGUCUCUAUUUCUGAUACAUCAAACUCAGGUGCACUAGCAGAAACGAAGAAAAAUGAUGAUCAAUAACAAGAGGGGAAUAUAUAUUUAAAAAGGAAUGUGAAAGUUAGUGCAAUACGUUUGUCCUUGUCUCUGUAACUCGUCCCAUAAGCUUCCCUGCAAGGCCCUUGUUACUUUAACCCAGUGUAAAGGCUUCAGAGAAGACUUUUUUGGAGCUGAAGACCCCAAACCUGGACGUGCAAGACCACGCCCUCUUCCUGCACCCUUCAGAUCUGGAGGUGCACCAGGAGGUCUAGGUCCAGGAGGUGGAGGAGGUCCACCAGGAGGUCUUGGUCCAGGAGGUGGAGGUGGACCAGGAGCACGACCACCAGGAGGCGGUGGAGGGGGAGGUCCAGGAGCUCUACCACCAGGAGGCGGAGGAGGAGGAGGGGCUCCUCCACGCAUUGGAGGAGGUGGUGGCGGUGGGGCUCCUCCACGCAUUGGAGGUGGUGGUGGUGGUGGGGCUCCUCCAGGAGGAAGUGGUGGAGGCGGAGGUCCACCAGAUCUAAAUGGAGGUGGUGGUGGCGGCGGAGGUCCACUAGUUCCAAAUGGAGGUGGUGGUGGCGGCGGAGGUCCUCCAGAUCUAAAGGGAGGUGGUGGUGGUGGCGGAGGUCCAUUAGAUCCAAAUGGAGGUGGCGGUGGUGGUGGAGGUCUACUGGAUCCAAAUGGAGGUGGUGGUGGUGGAGGUGAAGUUUUACCAAAUGGAGGUGGUGGUGGUGGUGGCGGAGGUCAUAUGUAUUUUUAUAUGGUACAUAAUUUAUUUUAAACAAUAUUAAUAUAUUAAUAUUUAUUAAUGAGACUUCUUAUUAUAUAAUUUUGUAAUCAUUUAUAUCUUGUUAUAUCUUAUUAUAUAAAAAGUAAACCAAGAAUCAAAAAAAUUUCAAUGUGAGAUUUUUUAAUAAUUUUAGUCAUUUAUAGUUUUUUUUUAAAGUUUAAAAUAUAACAUAUACAAAAAAAUCUAAAUUUUUACUAUAUAGUUAAUGUGGUUGUUUAAAUUAUUUUAAUAGGUUAAAAUUUAAAAAAAUGAUAGAGAAUAGACUAAUUUUUAUCAAAUCUUUAUUAUUCAAAAUCAUUAAUUUUCAUAUAUACUUUAGCCACAUUUGUUAAUUCUGUUAUUUUUAUUUAAGGAAACAAUGAAGAACAUUAAUAAUUAAGUUAUAAUUAGUUUAAUAAAAAGUUUAUUAUAUAUUUUCAUGGACCAACAUAUUUUUCUAAAGAUUCUAAGAAUAAUUGUGGUGAUGACAAGUGGCUACAAAAAAAUGUUAUAAUGCUUCUCUUUUAAUAUAUAAGAGGAUGUUGUUAACAAAAUAUAAUUCAACUAAAUCAUAAAAUAAUAUAUAUAAAAUAAAACACAAAAAAUCAUAGUUUAUAUACAUGUUUUUAAGUCGGAUACAAAUUGUUCUUAUCGGGUCGGAUCUAUUCGGGUCGGGUUUUUUCGGAUCCGGAUCUAUUCGGAUCGGUUCCUUUCGGUUCCGGUUCUUUCCGGAUCAGUUCCGGUUCGGUUUUCGGAUCCAGUUUAAAAUGCCCAAGCCUAGGUUCAAACAUGACACAUCUAAAAGUUGCUAGUACGGAGACAGACAUUUUAUGGUCAGAUAAUCAUCUCGAGUCAGACAGAACCAUGUCGUUCUUACGAAUACUUGUGAGAAAAGAUUCUGAUAAUUAGUUUUUCUCAUUCGUCUGGAUCCUACUAACCUAGAAAGAACAAUGAUGAUAUUGUGGUACGAUACAAAGUUACACACUAAGCAAAAGAUAAAAUGCUCUACAUCUCUAUCUCUCUAACCUGGAACCUAUACAACACUUCAACCUAUCAAAAGUCCUGGCAGGAAAGAAUCCUAAUUUACAAGUUAGAAUUUAAUCAAUGUGGAGUCAGUCAUGUAACGUGGGAGUGGUGUAAAGACCUGCCUUCUUAUAUAUCCUUGAAUGGUUCCCUCGAUAGCCCGCCCCAGGACCCGAGCCAGUUUUAACCGCCCUGUGCCACUCAGGCGGAAAGGUUACUUGAACAGCACCACCUCCACUGGCAUAAACAACCCACCACCUUUGCUUCUUCACUUGAAGGCGGAUUUUUGCAAAAAUAAGAUUUUAAAGUUCUUUUUUGUUGGGUCAGCUAUCAUCAACUGGUUUCUUUGUGAGACUGACUCCUUUCGCCUUCUCCAUUUCUGCUUCCUUGGCUGCUUUCUUCUUCUCCAGUUCCUCUUGCUUGAUGUUCUCUUCAUGUGCUUUCUUGAAUAGCCUUAUAAAAUUCAAGAGGGUCGCAGUAACUGCAGCAAUCCAUCACCCAGGUGUUGUUAUUAACUAGCUAAUAUAAUAACAAUGAACAACGUUCUAAUGUAUCAACAUUAUGCAAACCUUGUUCAAAUGGACAACGUUUGGGAUCUUCUCCAAAAUAAUAUGCAAGUGCAUCAGCAUUAUUGCCCUGUCCAUUAAAAAGACAAAUAAAGAUUACUUCAGGAUCAAAGGUAUUGUCACAUGUAAGACCUUUUGGGAUCUAGUAGAGGUUGAAAAAUUACCACGACCGAGUAAAGACUCGAUACAGUUGCCACUUCAGUAGUAGCAACGGAAAUGAAGUCCUUCAAUGUCUGUUAUCAAAAACAUAAAACUACAUUUUAGCAUCCGGAAGUAGUUGUCUUUAAGAACAUCUAAAAUUCAUGAAAUAUGAAGAAAAACAUACUUUACGGAAAACUUCAGAAACAGGACCAUCACUCUCGGAUGCAGUGAGCUCCUGGUUCAGUUUCUCCAACCCUUUGAUAAUAGCUUGCAUUUCUUCAGCCAGUGACUUCAAUUGUAUCUAAAAUCAACAAAAAAAAAAUCAAAUGAUUGAGCCAGUUACAACCAAUGGAUAGAGGAAAGAUAAAGCACAAAGCCACAAAGGCAAACCUUUGAAGCUGAUUCAAGACUUCCAAGAUCCUUAUGGAAGUCCAGUAGAUCUGAUCCCUUGGAAGCAAGGACCUGUAGAAAGAGAUGUUCAGACCAUUUUCUAAAAACAACUCUCAACAGAAGAACCUUAAAGACUGCUUUUUGAGAUUGUGAUUUUUACCUUGCAAAGAUAGUGCAUGAGAGUCAUCUUGCUGUUAGCAGCACGUGUAUCGCUUAGUUUUAACAAACUGUCCAACUUGAAUCCCACUGCAGCGCCUGCACAGAAAGCAGAACAAUGGUUUUUAUCAACCACAAAGGAUAUGCGGGUCAGACAAAACAGGUAACAAAGGCACCAUUCUUGGAUCAAGCCCACAUUCAACAGGAAAUGUUCUGAGCAAAAAGAUGUAAAACAAUAACAAAAGAAUACUUACCCCUCGCAGUUCCUUGGUUCAAUGUGUUCCCCAGAUAAAGAAUCUUUUUCAUAAUCUCUUUUAGCUUUUGUGAAGUACGAACCUGAUGAACAAGCAAUGAGGAGAAAAAAAGUCUAAGAAAGAGAAAUAUAAUAUGGACUAAAGAAAAUAUUAGAGUUAAGUUCUUGCAAGCAUCUAACCUCAUCACACGCAGAAUUUACCGCAUUUAAACUUUUUUUGAAUUCUUUUAUCUGCACAAAGAUCAUCAUUAACAAUAAGACCACUAAUUCAAAACUACAUAGACACUAAUUCAAUAACAGUAACGCCACCGGACCUGAGUGCCGAAUUGAAUCUUGAAGGAAAACACUCUCAUCUUCGAUUCUACUCGUGGCACCUUCAUUAGCUCUAGGAAGUACUGCGGUAACCAAAUGAUAAGAGCAGACCAAAACGUAUUAGCUAAGGAGAUUGUUCAAAGUUUAAAACUAUCUCAAGAUUCAAACAGACCUGCUCACACUUUCCCAAGGUCGCCUUGUCACCAGUGUAGUUCUACAGCAAAACAGUCAAUAACAACCAAGAUUGAGGAACCAAGAAGAAUGAUAUAUUUCACACAAGACAUCCGAAAUAAAGACAAAAGCCAAUACCUUCAGAAGUUCCAUCUCUUCCUUGGUUGGACAAAACUUUAUAAGAUUCUCUAUUUGAUCAAUAUCUAGUACAGUAUCAUCCAUUGCUAGAACUGCAGCCUGGUUGAUGAAAAGAAAAUUGUGAACAAUGAUCAUACUUGUACUCAACUAAAGCAUGUUUGGAGCUUACCAUCAUAUCAGGAAGCGGCAUCUUUACUUUCGUAAGCAUAAUUUCCGUAUUAUUGGCUCUCCUAAGAUCAAUCUGAAAAUCAGAAGAAAUAUAAUUAUCUUUUACAGCAGGUGAUACUCAGAUUCCAGGCACAUGAACAAAGUCUCCACUAGAAAAAGCGUACGUAAUCUGGCAAUAACCAAGUCUUUAGAAUAAUUUAACAUUACCAGUUGAACUUUUUCAGGUUUUGCCCCAACAGACUUUCUUCGACCUCCAGCUUUAUCAACCGGCUUUGGCACUAUAGCAGAGAAAAGGGUCUCUAUUUCUGAUACAUCAAACUCAGGUGCACUAGCAGAAACGAAGAAAAAUGAUGAUCAAUAACAAGAGGGGAAUAUAUAUUUAAAAAGGAAUGUGAAAGUUAGUGCAAUACGUUUGUCCUUGUCUCUGUAACUCGUCCCAUAAGCUUCCCUGCAAGGCCCUUGUUACUUUAACCCAGUGUAAAGGCUUCAGAGAAGACUUUUUUGGAGCUGAAGACCCCAAACCUGGACGUGCAAGACCACGCCCUCUUCCUGCACCCUUCAGAUCUGGAGGUGCACCAGGAGGUCUAGGUCCAGGAGGUGGAGGAGGUCCACCAGGAGGUCUUGGUCCAGGAGGUGGAGGUGGACCAGGAGCACGACCACCAGGAGGCGGUGGAGGGGGAGGUCCAGGAGCUCUACCACCAGGAGGCGGAGGAGGAGGAGGGGCUCCUCCACGCAUUGGAAGUGGCUGUGGAGGAGGAGGAACUGAACCUACGUGACCAAAAGGAGGAGCAGUUGGAGAUCCAUAACUUGGUGGCGGAGGUGGAGGGAGAGGGACUGAAUGUGCUUUACUAAAAGGAGGAGGAGGAGGUGGUGGUGGUGGAGGUGGAGGAGCAGCAGAAAAACCGUUAAUAAGAGACGUCUUGGGUGAUGGCGAAGGUGCAAUACUCAUAUAAGGCAACGGGGGAGGAGUAGGAAUGUGACCUCCUGGUGGCGGAGGUCCAUUAGAUCCAAAUGGAGGUGGCGGUGGUGGUGGAGGUCUACUGGAUCCAAAUGGAGGUGGUGGUGGUGGAGGAGGAGUUUUACCAAAUGGAGGUGGUGGUGGUGGUGGCGGAGGUGAGGAGGAGGUGGUGGUGGUGGAGGUGGAGGAGCAGCAGAAAAACCGUUAAUAAGAGACGUCUUGGGUGAUGGCGAAGGUGCAAUACUCAUAUAAGGCAACGGGGGAGGAGUAGGAAUGUGACCUCCACUGGAUUUGGUUGUAUUUGAUGAACUAAAAGGAGGAGGUGGUGGUGGUGGCGGUGGAGGUGGUGGAGAAUUGUAAGACGUAGAGCCUUCCUCAUGAGUUUCAAGAAUUGAAGCAUACCCAGGCUUCCACGGUGGUGGAGGCGGUGGUGGAGGAGGUUGAGAAGUAGAACAUGCCGUAGAAGUUGCCAAAGUCGAAGUAUACACAGACUUCCAAGGAAGAGACGGUUGCAACACGGUUCGAUUGUUUGGUUUCUCAGAUGCAAAAGGAGGAGGAGGUGGUGGUGCAGAAGGAGGAGGAGGUGGUGGUGGUGGCAACGUGGUUCCACUGUUUAGUCUCUCAGAUGGAAAUGGAGGUGGUUCCGGUAUAUGAGAUGUUUGAGAGUAGCUGUCAUUUUGUCUAUGUGAAGAAUAACUAGGCAGUGGUGGUGGUGGAGGUGGCGGUGGAGGAGGUGAUGCAGCCGCUUGUGAAACUUGCGUAGCCUCACUGGCUAGAGAAGGCAGAGCUGGAGUUGCAGGUGGAUGCUGAGGUGGUGGAGGCGCAUGAUGUGGAGAGACAGGUAGAGAAGGCGGCUUAUCCUUUGGGCUAGAAUCUGGUGACAACCAAAUCGGAGUCCGACUCCUCAUAAUAUCCGACGAAGAAACAGUCGCUCUCAGAUACUUACUCUUAGCGUCCUUUGUCACCACGCCGUCAGGCGAUGUAGCUCUUUUACCAUCCUUGAGAGAAGUGGUAAUCGAAGCAGGAGCACUGUUUGUCCUCGUCGGAGGGUACGCCACAUGCAUAGAGUCUUUAUACGAGCCCUUGUUUGAAGGAAUCCACCGAGAAACUGCAUUAGGCUUAGCCAUUCUAACAUUACCACCCUGAGUUUCUUGCUGCUUAGACUUUGGCUUCACUGAAUCUCCAGCCGGUUUUGCAUUUGCUCCGACCACUUUCCUCGGCGCAGCUUUUGUUUUGUCUGAUACAGAGAUGUUGAGAUUAGUAUUUGCUUUCUGAGUUGUAGACUCCAAAUCAUUCCCUUCUCCAUCACCAUUCUCCUUUGCUUCCACUGUCCUCUUUCUCUGCUCAUCACUAUCAUCUACCCCUAUAUCCUUCACUGAGUCAAUAGCCUUCCCAUCUGACCUAUACUGUACAUCAUCAACAGUUAUAUCUUUAACCGGAUCUGCGCUAGCCUCAUGUUUAUGAUUCGAAUCAUCAGAUGCGCAAUCAAGAAACGCAUUGGGCUCCACGUCCCCCUUCCACACCUCUUUACCCUCGGAAUCAUCUGAAGCACUAUCAACAACCACAAAACUAUCUGAGUCCUCUCUCUUCAAGUCAUGCCCAUCAAUCGCAUCGCUAAAAAUCUCCUCCACCUCAUAAAACUCCUCAGGCGAAGCCAUAUCAAAAUCGUUCUCAUCCUCAUCAUCUGAUACUGGGGCUGUUGCAAUAGCAGGCACCACGGUAUCAGCACCAGAGAAAAGCACCUGAGUAUGCAUUUCAAACUUUAACAGCCUCAUUUAAACAAAUAAUCAAAUAAAAUUUUCACACAAUGGCGGCAGGCGCUUACCUCUGCCUUGAACUCCUUUGGGAACAGGUCCUUGGCAUCCCAAAGUAUAUCCAUCUCAUCUCGUUCCACAAUUAAAAUAUUACCACGUACAAAUGCUGUGUGGAACAUGAUUCUAAAGACCAUCUCCUCACGCACCAAAUCGUCAUGCAAGUGUAUACAUUCCAGAACAACAUCCCCUUGAACACGGCACUGGAUGUCUAGUUUCACCAGGAUACACUCUUCCUGCAUGAUAAGAUCAAGCUAAUGAACAUUGUCUAGAGAGAAGCGUGUAGCUGCUAAUAAUAAAACCACACAAAAGAACUCAUAUACUAAACAAUGUCUUAUACAUAAAUAAAUGUGAUGAUCAUAUUCAUAUGCCUCCUCUGUUUCAAUCUAUUUGAUGUUUAAAGAUUUUUUUUUUUUUGUAGUAAACUAAGUGAUGUUCUCACUAUUCAGGAUUUGUGACCAAUUACAUAAUACUACUUUUUUUCUCUUUUUGGUUGAAUUACUUUUAUUUAAUGAUUUAUUACCUAUCCAAGAUAAAUUUUAUCAUUUCCUUAAUCUUUGUGCAUUAACCUUAAACACCUAGUAAAACGAAACAAGAGUGUGUGACAGAUACAAUGGUUUGAAAAAGUACCUGUUGGUAGAGACGAGUGUGUUUAUUCGUCUUUGGUGUGGAGAACAGAACCACAGAGCUCCUGUUGGCUUUGGACUUAGGAUCCUGACCGUAAACCCGGAUUAUCGGUCUGCACCCCUUCAAACCCUCAAAAUGCGGAAGAUCUCUGAGAAUCAAGCAAUCCAAAAGAAGAGGAGUAUCCGAAGGAGGCCAAUCAGAUGUCAGGUUUCUUCUAGAAAUGUACUGAAGGUAUCUGAGCUGAGAAGGCUGAGGGUUAAGAGGAGAGAGUAUAUGAAGAAGCUCCUUGGGAGCUUGCUUGUGCACCAUCUCGAGCGUCUUCUGCUCGCCCUGAUACUGCUUUCUAUACAAUAACAGCCCUGAUAACAUGAAUGCGAGAACAGGCCAGCCGCCUUUCUCGCAGUGCAUCACUGAGUUUCUUGCUGCUUAGACUUUGGCUUCACUGAAUCUCCAGCCGGUUUUGCAUUUGCUCCGACCACUUUCCUCGGCGCAGCUUUUGUUUUGUCUGAUACAGAGAUGUUGAGAUUAGUAUUUGCUUUCUGAGUUGUAGACUCCAAAUCAUUCCCUUCUCCAUCACCAUUCUCCUUUGCUUCCACUGUCCUCUUUCUCUGCUCAUCACUAUCAUCUACCCCUAUAUCCUUCACUGAGUCAAUAGCCUUCCCAUCUGACCUAUACUGUACAUCAUCAACAGUUAUAUCUUUAACCGGAUCUGCGCUAGCCUCAUGUUUAUGAUUCGAAUCAUCAGAUGCGCAAUCAAGAAACGCAUUGGGCUCCACGUCCCCCUUCCACACCUCUUUACCCUCGGAAUCAUCUGAAGCACUAUCAACAACCACAAAACUAUCUGAGUCCUCUCUCUUCAAGUCAUGCCCAUCAAUCGCAUCGCUAAAAAUCUCCUCCACCUCAUAAAACUCCUCAGGCGAAGCCAUAUCAAAAUCGUUCUCAUCCUCAUCAUCUGAUACUGGGGCUGUUGCAAUAGCAGGCACCACGGUAUCAGCACCAGAGAAAAGCACCUGAGUAUGCAUUUCAAACUUUAACAGCCUCAUUUAAACAAAUAAUCAAAUAAAAUUUUCACACAAUGGCGGCAGGCGCUUACCUCUGCCUUGAACUCCUUUGGGAACAGGUCCUUGGCAUCCCAAAGUAUAUCCAUCUCAUCUCGUUCCACAAUUAAAAUAUUACCACGUACAAAUGCUGUGUGGAACAUGAUUCUAAAGACCAUCUCCUCACGCACCAAAUCGUCAUGCAAGUGUAUACAUUCCAGAACAACAUCCCCUUGAACACGGCACUGGAUGUCUAGUUUCACCAGGAUACACUCUUCCUGCAUGAUAAGAUCAAGCUAAUGAACAUUGUCUAGAGAGAAGCGUGUAGCUGCUAAUAAUAAAACCACACAAAAGAACUCAUAUACUAAACAAUGUCUUAUACAUAAAUAAAUGUGAUGAUCAUAUUCAUAUGCCUCCUCUGUUUCAAUCUAUUUGAUGUUUAAAGAUUUUUUUUUUUUUGUAGUAAACUAAGUGAUGUUCUCACUAUUCAGGAUUUGUGACCAAUUACAUAAUACUACUUUUUUUCUCUUUUUGGUUGAAUUACUUUUAUUUAAUGAUUUAUUACCUAUCCAAGAUAAAUUUUAUCAUUUCCUUAAUCUUUGUGCAUUAACCUUAAACACCUAGUAAAACGAAACAAGAGUGUGUGACAGAUACAAUGGUUUGAAAAAGUACCUGUUGGUAGAGACGAGUGUGUUUAUUCGUCUUUGGUGUGGAGAACAGAACCACAGAGCUCCUGUUGGCUUUGGACUUAGGAUCCUGACCGUAAACCCGGAUUAUCGGUCUGCACCCCUUCAAACCCUCAAAAUGCGGAAGAUCUCUGAGAAUCAAGCAAUCCAAAAGAAGAGGAGUAUCCGAAGGAGGCCAAUCAGAUGUCAGGUUUCUUCUAGAAAUGUACUGAAGGUAUCUGAGCUGAGAAGGCUGAGGGUUAAGAGGAGAGAGUAUAUGAAGAAGCUCCUUGGGAGCUUGCUUGUGCACCAUCUCGAGCGUCUUCUGCUCGCCCUGAUACUGCUUUCUAUACAAUAACAGCCCUGAUAACAUGAAUGCGAGAACAGGCCAGCCGCCUUUCUCGCAGUGCAUCAGGAGAACGUUCUGCUGGCCUUCUAGUGAUAGCCAGCUUUCGCUAGAUUUUAAAAAGUGAUGGAUCAUCUCGAGAGGUAGGAGCGGGCAGGUUUCGUAUUGCCGAGGGUAGUCCAUGACCGUCAUGUCGUAUUGGGAUAAAACGUCUGAGAUUUGACUCCGCUGGUCUCCUUCUCUGAAGUUGAAGACCAUGAAGGAAGCGUCAGGGAAGUGGUCCUGUAGCUGAGCGACGAUGCCGCCCAGGUAGAGUUUGUACUCGUCCUCUCCCAUAACAUCGCUCGAGAAACAGCAGUCGAAGACUGCAAUUUAAAAUAAGAAGAUGAGGAAAGAAACAUGGAACUGCAUUAGCAAGCUAUUUGUAACUAUAAUGAAGUGCAAUGUAGCAGCAGCUCAAAUAAAAGAAACAUCAUCAGCAGAACAUUAUAAGAAACAAAGGCUUUGGUUCCUGUCGGAAAGGAAUAUUCCGACAAAGCUUAUUAAAGCGUUGUUCAAAGAGAUUCUGAUUCCUAAAACCUCUAAAAACACAAAAGACUAACAGAUACUACAAGCUCCAUUGCAAAGCUAAAACUCCAAUCUCCAACGCAAUCAUAUCUUUGGCAAGAUUGAAAUGAUCUCAUCCUCUAAAGUUCGAAGCUUUUUACCAUAGAGACGCUCGGAGAUCUCGAGAAGGUGAUCGGGAGGCUUUUUGUAGAAGAAGCGACGGAACAGCGCCAUGGGAAGGGCGGCGCUGUCUCUCCUCGGAUCGGAUCCAAACCGUCUCGAGAAUUUUUUUAGUAAACCAACAAGCAGAUCAUUCUCCAAUUCUCUAUUCCCCUUGACCUAAACCUCAGAUCCACCCUUCUUCCCCCUUCAAAAUUCAAACCCUAAUUUGACAAAUACAAAUCUUCACAAAAUUUACAAUAGCCAGAUAGAGAGACAACGAAUCCCCUUCUCUCUCUCUCUCUCUUCCAAUUAUGAAACAAGGCAGCUCUCGUUAUAGGCCAACGACGCAAAUUCUAAUGAAGUUUUUCUUAUAUCGAUCUAUGUACAAAUGGGGAAACUCUUAUUGGACAAAAAUGGAAACAAAAUGAAUCUUGGAAGCUUAAUCAAAUAGUUUACAAAAAUAAACAAAAGAGGGAAGUGACAGUGAGAUUAAGAAUUUUCAGGUUCAGGUAGAAGAAAACGAGAAGAUGAGCAGAAAGAAGGAAGAAUGAAAUGAAAUGAAUGAAUCGAGAUUCUCGAGAAAUCUUCCAAUCAAAAUAGUUUUUAUUUUUAUUCAUAAUUAGAGCUAUAAUUAAUUAUUAUAGCCAGAAAAAGGCUUUAUUGAUUUUUACUCUUACCCGAACCGAAUGAAAACGUAGUCCGGGUGGAAAGAGGGGAGACCCGGUUCGGAGUCCGUCCCGACACACGACGCCACCAUUCUCCAACCAGCUGUUUGUCUCGUCCUACGUGGAAAUGGAAACAGUGUUUGUAAAAAUUACAGCCACGUUUUCUCUGACAAACAACAAAAAUACAAAAUAUACUACAAAGAAGUUCAAUUUGCGAUUUUCCAUCUGUCGAAACACGCUAUUGACUUAAAAACAAGUCAACUAAAUAUAUGAUUAGAAACAUUUCAGAAUAUAAACAUUUCAAAUUGCAUCCACAUUAUUACAAAUAUUAAUUGGUGAUAGUAUGUAAAGGUUUCCAGUUUUCAUUAUGUAAGUAAUUUGAAUCAAGGAACUGGUCGGAAAAAAUCAUUUGAAUUAAAGGGGAUUUGUAUUUUCUUAUCCUUUGAAGAUAAGGUAUCUCUUAUUUAAUUUUAUCAAAGAUCAGAAAAGGGACUACCUAACCUUGUGCUUUUCGCAUAAAGAGGCCUCAUAUUUGUUAUCCAAAGGCCCAUAUAUAAUAUUUGGGCUUAUUAGUGAACGGCCCAACUGUCUUUCCUCACUUCGUGACUAACUGAGAAGUGUGUACGUGAGUGGCGUCAUAGCCCAAGUACGAGAUCAACGGCCUCGUUCAUGGUGUUUGUUGCAAUAAGGACCAUGUGAAAUUAUUUGGGCUUAAUAUAGUCAACGGCUAAAUGGUCUCUCGGCUACUCCAAACAUAUAGAGCCUUCUCAGUUUUUCUCAUGGACCAUCACUAUGCAUUGCCAUGACCAUGACUAUUGUGUUUCUGUUUUUUCAACGAAAAGGUUACAAACCAAGCUGCUACAUCUUUCUUAACAAGGGUCUCCAUGAUUUUUGGUAUGUUACUAUCACUGUAUCGAAGGAAACAAAUGUAUAAAUAUAAAAAAUUAAACCAAACCACAAACAAACCAAACUAGAUAAAAAGGAAGAAAGAGAGGUUCUUUCUUUGUAACGUACUAACGUAACAGCAUAAUUUAACAAAACAAAGAAAACAUAACAAGAGAAGAGUUUCAAGAAUUGUAAUUUGUAAAGUGAGAGCUUUGCAUAGCUUCUUGAAGGAGUUCAUGAUCAUCCCAAGAAUCACGAUACGUCUCAAGAUUUUCUUGUGAAUUGUCGAGAGCAGACAAACAAAGUAGUUUUCUCCAUUCUUCCAAAUGCGGAAAGCCAACAUAGUCCGCAUACUUGUCACAAUACUAUAACAAAACAAAAUUUUAAAUUAGAUUACUAGGUCACAUAAAUAGAACAAUUAAAAAUCGUGUUUAGAGGGUUUUAUUACUCUGAAAUCAGCAAUGUCGUGAGUGUUGUGUUUAGGGACACCAGCGAGAUCUCUUGACCGGUAAAAGUCAGCGACAGAUUGCAACAUAUGGUCGGAAGAAGGAAGAGAUAACUUCCCUGACAAUACUUGUGCUAUCCAUUUUGCUUGUGCUUCAAAGAAUGGGAACCCUAUUAACUGCAAAGCACCAAAAAAAAUUAUAUUUUGAGAAAUUAUAAAUCAAGAUUAAUUUGUUGAAACAAAAUAAAAUAAUUAAAAGUGUAGAGAGAGAGACCUUUCUAGGGAUACCGACAAAGGAGAGAGAAGGGGAGAGAGACGGAGGGAAAGUAUGUUCGAAGAGUGGACCGACUCUAUCAUCAUCCACUUCUACUCUUCCUUUACUCUCAAGAAAUGGAAACUUGUACGAGUACCUGUUUUAUUAUUCAAAAUAUAAUUAAAUAAAUAAGAUAAAAUGUUUUUAAAAUGACAAAAAUUGAUUACUACUGUAGACUAUAACAACAUCAUGUACCCAAGAACUAGGGAACUGAAAUUAAUUGAGAUGAACAGUGUGAAAAAUCGAUUUGUAGCCCACUCAAUACGACAUUAUAAAGUCCCACAUCAUGAUUAAAAGUAAACUAGCUAAUAGUUUAGUUUAGUAGUUAUCGACAACAUAGCUAUAGGUUCAGUAAUUUAUAUAUCUCUCGACAUUAUUUUAAUCAAUAUGAUUUUCUAGUAGAAGAACCGAGAUAUAAGUUACGCAUUAUCAUGCAGAUUCAAAUGAUCAACCAUACUUUAACGUGUUUGGACGUUUUCUCAUUUUUGUUUAUUGAUUAUAGUAUUACAACUACUUAUGAUGUCGAUGAAGACCUCGUUACUCCCAAAAAGUCAUGGUCAAUUAAACUGAACUUAACACUUAAUUAAUUACGACUAAAUCACUAUCGAAGGAUCCAUCAUCACAUGUUUGUCUUACGUAACAGAAACAAAAAGUAGUAAUUUAGACUAUUCGCCAUCUUGCAUGAAAGAAACACAUGGUGCUUUUUAUACUUAAUUUGUUAUAUAUGCGUGAAUUUUGGUUUUGUAAUCAUAUUAAACAUUAAACAAUAUUACCUGUGUUCCCGAAAGUAAGAUGUUUUAGAUUUUUUUCUUGUUCCACAAAGAUAGAUUUUCUAUAUCGUUAAGGAAUUCUUUUAUACUUUUGAGGAACAUUAAUUGAGAAUAUUUGAAUUGAUUAAAUUUCAUUGGUGGAAAGCUAUUGGAAAGUGUAUAAUAAAGUAAAAAAUAAAUUAAAUUAUAAACAUUUAUUAGAUUCUUAAUAAACGUAUAUACUCUAGAAAAUCUUACUUUCAGGAACAGAGGUAGUAUAUAAAGAUGAGUCUUACCCGGUGCAGUAUAAAAUUGUAUCAGCGACGACCCAAGAUCCAUCCACAAAGAUGGCUCUCCCAUCAUCUUUUAAACAUUCAAUCUACCAAAAAAAAAAAUCAAAGAAAUAAAUCUUUUUAAUCUAAAUUUACACAUACUAAUUUUAAUCAGAACCUGUGGUUGAAGAUGAAGGUUUGGGUAUUUGGAAAUGACUUUGGAAAGUCCAGAAGUUAUGUCAAGUGACUUGGAACUUAAAUAAACUUCCUUUGCCACUUCCACAAGCUCUAUUGAUAUGUCUUGUCCACUCAUUGAGUUCCCAACCACCACCACUACCUAUCACCACCAUCAUCAUCCAUCACCAAAUUUAAACUAAGAUCUAUACAUAUAUAAAGAAGGAGAGAUUCAAUCACCUCAUUACGAAAUGGACCAGGCACCCGGUAAACAUGGCUAUGAACUUGCUUUCUUUUCCAAGAAUCCAUUCCUAUAUCAAUCAUCAAAGAACCAUGAGAAGAAAUAAAUCAAUAAACGGAUCUAUACUAUAGUCAAAUAAUUAACAUGAUGUGAACCACUACAUUUACUAUAUAUUGAUAAAAUGAUUAAGCAAAGUACAUAACGUUUGAUAUACCUUUUAUAGAGGGCAAUCUAGGGUGAGAGUAAUGACCAGUAGCAACAACAACAGCAUCAAAGAUCUCUUCAAUGACCUUACCACUUAGUUUCUCUCUACUUCUCACAAUCCAUCUCCUCACAUCUUCAUUUUUAUCUUCUUCCCCUACAAACUCAACCCUAACAUUAAACCUAAUCAUCUCUCUUACCCCAAAAGCUUCACUGAAGUCCUUUAGGUACAACCAAAGCUCCUUGUGCCCUGGAAACCUCCUCAUAUCUCUCCCUUUUUUCGCCAAAAAAGGAAAAUCUGAAUAACCCAUUAUCUCUCUCGGUGAGGUUAGCCUCAAGGAAGAGUAAAUGCUGCUAUGGACCUUAAGUGCACCAUUAGUAGGAACACUUCCUAAAGGAUCUUCUUCUUUCACGUUUGGUUGAUACAACCAUUGACCUCCUACGUCGUUGUUUUGCUCCAUCACCACCACUUUGUGUCCUUCUUUCCUUAGCUCCCUUGCCGAGACUAGCCCAGACGGUCCAGCUCCGAUCACACACACCUUCUUUGAUCGGUUCCUUGAUGCUUCUGAUGAUGUGACCGAAACCAUUAUUGUUUAUUUUGAAUAAAAGAUGGGUUUAGUAUGCCUUUUUUAGUAGGUCAUGUGUCUCUCCUGGGAUGUUGUAUUUAUAGUUGAAAUUAGGACUCUCCUUUUUGUGAGUUAAAUAAAUUAAGACUUUCUCACUACUACUACUCAAUACGUCUUUUUCUGUUUUAUCUACUUUUUCCUGGUUUUAUAAUUAUUUCACAUAAAAAUUCAUAUACUUUACAUAGAUGCAGAUCUCUUAAAUAAAACUACUUUGUUUAUUUGUUGGAAAAGUAAUAAUUUGAGAGAGAAGACGUACAUGACAAAUCAGAGGUGGUAGACUUUUUGUAACUUCGUUUUCAAGAAUGCACACACAAUACGAAUCUCUUAAAUCCGAGUAACAUGAUAUAUAUAUAUAUAUAUAUAUAUAAAAUAGGAACCAUUCAUUUUAAAUAACCUCUUCUUCGUUUUAGUAUAUAUUAUACUAUUCUCCCCAUUUUUUUAUAUUUAACGCUUUAGAAUUGUGCACGUAGAUUAAAAAACAUUUAAUUUUUUAAACAAAAACAUCAUUAAUUGUUUACCUAACUAUAAUUUAACCGAUAAUAAAAUAGAAACUAUAAUACUAUUGGUCAUCUAACAUUAAUUAGUAAUAAAUUUUACAUAGAAAAUUGAAAACGUCAAAUAAUUUGGAAAAAACAAGUUUCUCUAAAAUGUCAAGUAUAAAAAACGGAGGGAGUAUAUAUAUAUGUACACUAGUAAAACCUAGAUGUUAUCGGUUUCCGACUCUUUCUCUAGUUUGUGCAUGAAACCAUCUCCAGUGUUUUCUCUUAAUAAAGAAACUAACUCAAUCGUUGGUCAGAAAAAAAACUAACUUAAUCUUCGAAAACAAAGUUAUAUUGGUCGGACGGACCCAAACUGAUUUUCAAUCAUAAACUCUGACCGAUCCACCGAUCGAUAUAACUAUUUAUUUAUCUCACAUGUGGGAUUCUAAAUCAAAUACAUAGUUUCGAUUUUUUUUUUUCCUUUUAAAAGUAAAUUUUAAAAAAAUUCUAAUUAACUGCAAAUCAUCAUAUCCCUUAGGAAACAAUUAUAAUAUUAUAUAUCAUUGCUUCGGCGUUUGAUCUCUUUUUGCGGUAAAAACAGUUACUAUAAAACUAGCUAUCAGACCAUCUCCAAUCUAUUUUCCUAUUUUUUCUUUUAAAAUAGGGAAAUUCUAUAAUAGAGAUAUGUUUGUCUCCAAUGUAUUCAUCUAUUUCUUCCUCUAAAAAGGAAUAUUUUUGAUAUAUUCUUUUCUAAUUUUACAAAUAGUACCUUUUAUUUGUGAAAGUUGAAAACCAACUCAAUUUAGUGUAACAUUCAUAAAAUUAUGAUAUGAUUUACACUGAAUAUUUUUAUAGAAACUAUUAUGUAAAUAAAAAGUAUGAUUAUAUAUUUAUAUAAACAGUAAAUUUUCACUAAAAAAUAUUUAUUUUGGUUAUAAUUGUUAAAGUAAAAAGUUAAAAGAUCAUUUUGUAAAUAAAAAAGUAUGCCUCUAUUAUAGAGAAAUGCUAUUUCUUCCUCUAAACAUAGAGAUGAAAAUAACAAUCUCUAUUUUAGAGGAAGAAAUAUAGUAGGGUUUGAAUGGUUUUAUCUCUAAAUGCUAUUAUAGAAGCAAAUAUAGAAGUGGGUAGGAAGAUACAUGUGUGAAACCCUCUCUUGGUAACAUUUUUCUGAAUUAAAUUUAGAAUGUAUAUAUAUAUAUAUAUAUGAGUAUUUUAUUAUGUAAGACGAAUUUUACUACAAAUUCCACAUUAGAAAAUAUGCUUAAUUUAUUUUUGAUCCAUACUUCCAUACAUAAAGUUUUUAGUGUUAAUCUAUAAAUAAGCAUUCAUCAAAAUAAUAAAAAGAAAUUGAAAGAUAUGGAUGAUAUGUUAAGUUUGAAAUUAAUAUAUGUUGAAAAACUCAUCCAACAAAAUUAGUAAUGAGUCAGCGACUGAUAUCAAUUUUAAAAUUUAUUAAAAUAAGAAAAAGUGAAACAAAAGGUAAGUAAACCCUUUCCCACGAAGUUAAAAGAAGAGAGGUGAAAAAAAGACUUAGAGACGCACAACAACGGCUAUUGUGUCCCUCUUAAUUAAAGUAAUCCUUGCUGUUAAAAGUUGUACUCAGGGUUUGUUGGAAACAUUACCGACCUAUCUUGACAAAACUAUAUAUUCCAUGCGUUCUUAAAACAUCCAUGUUAUAGUUUUUUCACACUUAUUAAAAAAAUAUUUAAAAUUGUAUUUUCUAAUACAUUGUUUUCCUUAAUUAGUUAUUUUCAAUAACUUUUAACCAAUGAAAUUUUAUUAAACACAAUUGUAUUUUUUGAAAAGUACAUUUUUUCAUUAAUUAAUGUCUUGAAAAUGUAAAAAAUGUAUCUUUUUAAAACAAAUUUUUUUUUCUAAAAAAUAGAUCUAUAAGGAACAGAGGGAGUAUACGGUAUAUUAAAAUAUGAUCAUUUAAUUCUUUUACUCUUAAAUAAAUACGAGUAUUUGUAUUAAAUAACUUCUAACCUUAAUUUUACUACGUAAAUAUAUACGUAAAUUUAGAAAACAUUUGUGUUCUGAGUUUUGAGCGUGUGUUCCUCGAACCAUUUUACUUGUGUGGAACUGUGUAAUCCAAUUUCUAAUGAAUCACACAUUCAACUUCUGGUGUUUGAUUUCAUAAAUACGUUUUUUUCUUCUGCCUUUCGGUUAAUAUAUUAAUGCGUUUGUCCUCAUUGUUAUUCAGAAUUUAUCACAUGGAAAAACUAUUAAGAUGUGUAUUACAAAAAAAGACUAUUAAGAUAGCUAACGAUUCUGCAUCUUUAUUGGUCGCAUUCAGAUCGUGUCUGCCUUCUUUUUUUUUUCCGCCAUAGGUUUUUAAUAUUUAGAGGAAGCGGGCCAAGCCCAGAACAACAUACAAACAAAAGCCCAACAACCGAUUAAGGCAUACUAUUUUUUCCAUUAAACGGGCCGGCGGCCCAAACACUAGACCGGUGAAACGACGACUCGACCCACACGUCAAGGAGGCCGACUGCAGGACACGUGGAUGCAUCUCAACCAUCAGACCGACACGCAUCGCAUCCGCCUCGACUCGACCGCCGCCGUCUCGAAACACCACCGGAAUCACCUCACCAAAACUUACUUUCGUCGGAGCUCCGAAACCGUAGAGCCUCCUCUGAAACCAUCUCAGUUCUUCCAAACUCAAUCUACCCGUCGGAGAGCAUCAUCACUCUUCGAGAGCUCAUCCGACAAGGCGUACGCUUCACCGCAUCAGAACUAGAACGACAACCUAGAACAACCCGAUCCAACAACGAACCCCAAACCAAAAUAACGACAACGAACCCCAUACCAAAAACCUGAAACCGACGACGAGAAGCUGAGGUAGCCUUCACCUCUCGGGGACUUGAGCCGACGACGGCGAAGCAAAGGAAACUUCCACCAUGCGGUAACUAAAGCCGGCGGCGACGGAUCUGUGAAAGCCUCCAUCUCCCGGAAACAAAACCCUUCCUACGAACGUCCUCACCACGCCAACAACUCCAAACAACCGCGUCUUCACUCCAGGAACCGAAACACCACGGGUGGUGAUGAGCCAGAGCUCAGACAAAGCGGUCACCGAAGAUGACGGGGAGAGGACCACAGCCGGACCAAGAAAACUGAAAGACAACUGGUUCCGGCGACGGCACGCGCGCUCACGCGCCGGCCGCACGCCGAAACCCAAGUGAGAUCUACUUUCUCUCUCUUCUCUCUCUUCUCUCUCCCUCGCACCACCGGGAUACUGGUUAGUUAUCGUGUCUGCCUUCUAUAUUUCAAAAAUCGAGAUCUUGAUUUAAGUAUUUUUAAAGCUCAUGGGCUGUUGUAAUAUAUACUCCCUCCGUUCUUAAAAGAUGUAUGUUCUGGAAAAAAAAUUUAUUUCAAAAAGAUACAUGUUUUACCUUGUCAAUGUAUGAUUUUAUGAAAAAUUGUAAGUUUCAAAAAAAUUAAUGGUGUUUAUUGAAUUUCUAUUGGCUAAAAAUUAUGAAAAAUUGUUAUUCACAAAAAACAAUGCAUAUUUAAUGAGUUUUUUUAAUAUAUGUAAAAAGUCUAGAAUAUACAUCUUUUAAAAACAGAGGGAGUAAUACUAAGAUCUAUUGGUUGCACAUGUGGUUCUGAUAGCGAAGAUAUGCAUGAAUACUGCUGAUUUCAUUAUUUAAAGUAUCUUAAAUGCUCAUGGACAGUAUAUACUCUACUAAAAUCUACUGGUUGCACAUGUAGUUCUGAUAACGAAGAUAAUGCAUGAAUAUUAUUGAUUCGUAUUUUAUUUUUCUUGGUUACGGUUUAUUGUUGGUAUGUUAAUGUACUCCCUCUGUUUUCGAAAGUAAAAAUUUUUAGAUUUUUUUCUGUACUUUUUUAUACUUUUGAGGAAUAUUAAUUAAGAAUAUUUGAAUUGAUUAAAUUUCAUUGGUGAAAAGUUAUUGAAAAGUGUAUAAUAAAGUAAAAAAUAAAUUAAAUUAUAAAUAUUUGUUAAAUUUUUUAAUAAGCGUGCAUACUCUAGAAAUUUUUAUUUUCGGGAACGGAGGGAGUAUAUAAUAAAUUUUUAUUUUCGGGAACGGAGGGAGUAUAUAAUUACGUAUGUGAAUAUCUUAACUUCUUAUAUAACAAAGUCUUAAAAAUCGGGAGAGUAAAGGCUGAUACGGGCCCCCACAUGUAAGAGGAAUCCUUAAAGGCAAGAUAACAUCUACAGUAAUUUCAUUGGGCGCUUAAACUAAUGUAGUGAAAUGAUGAUUCUCUUGUGAAAACAUGGGGACCAUUUUGCUUCUUAGACAAGAAACUGACGAGAGAAGAAGCUUCUAAUCCAAGCAAGCCUGAGAAGUUUGGCCAUACAGAGAUACACUUUGGCAUAUCAAACUCUUCAAAAAGUACAGUUUCUUCUCUGCAAAGUUUGUUUUGUGUAACUGAAAGGCCAAUUAAUUGACAACUUGGUUGGAUCAUUAACCAGGGCCUCGAGCCUUUGUCAUUAGAUGUGAAAAUAUGGAAAUUUACUUGAGAAGAUCCUUUUUUUUAGAACUCUUGCUCUCGCUGUUCCUUGGAGCAGCUGCUUCUUCUCCAGCACAUUCUUACAUCUGAAGGGUUCAUCGAUCUCAAUCUAAGUCACUCGGAGUAGUAGUAGUACUCUUGGUUUCACUUCUGUUAGCACGUAAGCCAUCGCAAGAUUUGACAACCUCAUGACUAGCAGUAGUAUCUCUGUUUUAUAUACCACACCUAUACUUUCUGACCCACAAAAUAAGUAACACAGUUGACAAUAUUAACUCUAGACUUAGCCUAAUACAACAAACAAACACAAAGAUUUUUAACUAGUAGGUAAAUCAACAGUAAGUUCUAACAACUUAUUUGCCUUGUUGCUUGUUUUUUAUUUUCCCAUGUUUUCUGCAUUUUAUCAUAUGCAAUAUAAUAUCAAAGAUGAGAAGACUCCUGUUGUCUAAAAAUCACCAGUUCAGGGACGUGUCUCUAUUGGCUGAGGCUCAAAGACGUGUCUCUUUCUUCGGCAAAGACUUGUCUCUUUCUUAGGCAUACAUCGUGGUCUCUUUAUCACACCACUUCUAGAAGCAUUUAAAAGCCUUUGGCUUCUUGCUUCUUCGUCUUUAAAUGUGUUUUCUUUUUUUUUGAAACACUUGUCUUUAAAUGUGUAAUAAUGGUUUCGUUGUAUAGUAUGUUCUGUUUUUUUUUCUUUUUGCCUUUUCCAAGUUGGAAAGGACGAUAGAAGAAAAAUCCUAUCGUGUAAUAACUACUACACAUUUAUGUUAUGCAUUCUUGGUCACUCAUUUCAACCGUAUAACAGAUCAUCUUUAAGGAUAAAUAGGUUCUCAUGUAAUUAUUAUAUACUGACUAAGAAGAAGAAAAGCAAAGAAGAAGUGAAAGAAGCAAAAUGGUUUCUUCUUCUUCAUCUGAGGUAAAGAUUAUCUCAGAAUGCUUCGUUAAACCCAAAACAUUCCCUGAAAAAUGUAAAGAGCCAUACCAUCUAUCACUAUUGGAUCACUUCUUGCUCUCUGUGCAUUACAUCCAAAAGGGUCUUCUCUUUCUCAAACCAUCAACACCAUCUGAAGAAUCUGAUGAUGCAAUCAAACCACAAGACUUCAUGGAGACUUUGCUGCAAAAGCUCAAAGACUCUCUAGCCACAACUCUUGUCCAAUUCUAUCCUCUAGCUGGUCGCCUUUCGACUUGGAAAACCGAUGAUGCAAGUUCCUAUUCUGUGUUUGUGGAUUGUAAUAACAGUCCUGGAGCUGGAUUUAUCCAUGCCAAAUCAGAUCUAAGUGUUGGAGAUAUUGUUGGGUCUAAAUAUGUUCCUUUGGCUCUUCAGUCAUUCUUUGAUCAUCACAAAGCAGUGAGUGGUGAAGAUCACACCAUGAGUCUCUUAUCAAUAAAGGUUCAUUAGUUAUUUAUUGUGUUUUCAAUAUAGUUAACAAAUGAUAAUGGCUUAUAAAUUUUUGGGUCGGUUCCAGUUCGGAUUUUCAGGUCGGGGUAAAAUGCUCAGGCCUAAAGAAGUUUAUAGUGAUAAAGGGUGAUGUGGUUGUUUGUUUGAGAUGUGUAGGUAACAGAACUUAAAGAUGGAGUGUUCAUAGGACAGUCUAUGAAUCAUGCACUUGGAGAUGGAAGUUCCUUCUGGCAGUUCUUCAACUCUUUGUCAGAGAUCUUCAACUCACAAGAAGAAACCAUUAGUAACAAACUACUAUGUCUCAAGAAUCCUCCAAUCUUUCGUGAAGGGUCAGGUCCUAUUUGCAGCUUUCCCUUCACUCAACCUGAUGAGUCCAUUCGUCGAACCGAACCUCCGGUUCUGAAGGAGAGAAUGUUCCACUUCUCAUCUGAAACAAUGAGAACAUUGAAAGUGAUAUCUUGCAUAUUUACAUUGUUUUAUCCAUUCAUCCAUGAGCAUUUUCAUCAUAUAGAUUAGGAUUUAGCCAUGUCUAGGUUGCAUUUUGCAUUCAUUGUCCUUAUUAGGUGUUGGAGUGUGCCAUGGAGUGAUUUGAGAUGUUUGGGAGCAUUGUGAUCCAAAAGGAGGUGAAAGAUGAGCAUGGAUGGAGCUUUUAGAGAAAUCUCCUGUUACUAAGAUUUUGUGGAGACACAGAAAAUUGAGUUAGCUUUCUAAUGAAAGUGGUUUCAAGUCAUUUGGAGAUGUAAUGAAGGAGUUAUGAUCAAUUUACUAGAGGCAUAUCCAUCCUGGUCGAGCAUCGCAGAGUGACCUCUCAGAGCGACCUACCGAGGUCGCUCCCAGCCAGAGCGACCAGCCAGAGCGACUAGCUCAAGUCACUCCCAGCCAGAGCGACCAGCCAGAGCGACCAGCUCAAGUCACUCGCGUUUUGACGGGUCGAGACACAAAGAAACGCGUCGGGAGUGACCUCCUGGAGCGACUAUGCUAGGUCACUCCGCGUGUUUUGCUUGGACGAUUUUUAUGUUAUUUCAGGGGCCUUUUGGUCAUUUGUUUUGAUGUUUUUACACUUUCUAAACCUAAGUUAAAGACUUUUUGUAAGAUUGGGAGGCAGAUAAUCUCUUUUCUAGAGAAGAACUAGUAAAAAACCUCUUUUGAUUCAGAUUUCAUUGCUUUCAUCUUGUGUUCUUGUUGAUUUCUUAUCUAUUUCUCUACAUGGUUAAUCUGAAAUCCAAUAUGGAGUUCGAUACUUGAUCACCCAAGGUCUAAUCCCUAUGCCCAUGAGUUCUCUUUUCCCUUAGUCAAGAAAGUAUCAUUCUGUUAUUGCUUUUUAGUUUUAGUCAUAGCUUAAAACUCAUCUAAAUCAUUGGUUGCACUUAGAUUAAGUGAGUACUUGCAUUCUCAUUGCUUUGAUAUCCCUCAGAACUGGUUCGACAAUCACUAUACUACAACAUUUGUCUUAGGAACUUGAAAACUCUUAACAUCAGAAAGCAAAAGGCAAAUCAAGAGUGUGGUACAACAACAAUCUCUUCUUUUCAGUCAUUAUCCGCAUUUGUAUGGAGAAGCAUUACAAGAGCAAGGAGAUUACCAAAUGAUCAAGAAACUACUUGCAGGCUUGCUGCAGGCAAUAGAUCAAAAAUGGACCCACCACUGCCCAAGAACUACUUUGGUGUGUACAUCUCUCUAGUGAAAACGACUGCUAAAGUAGGUAACCUCUUACAGAAUGAGUUUGGAUGGGCUGCUUUAAAGCUACAUCGAGGUGUAGUUGAACACACUGACAAGAAGAUCUCUUAAGACAUGGAGCAAUGGUUGAAGUCUCCUUCUAAUAAUCGAUUUUUCUAUACAAAUAUAGUUCAUAUGGGAAGCUCACCGUGGUUUAACAAGUAUGGAAGUGAGUUUGGAAUGGGGAAAGCGGUUGCGGUUAGAAGCGGUUAUGGCAAUAAGGUUGAUGGGAAGGUAUCAGCUUAUCCGCGAAGAGAAGGAGGAGGAAGCAUUGAUUUAGAAGUGUGUCUUCUUCCAGAGUUUAUGGAAGCUUUAGAAUCAGAUCAGGAGUUCAUGUCCCUUGUCUCUUCUUCUUCAUCCUGUUAGCUUCUGUUUGUUGUCUGAUCUUUAUUUUAAGUUACAUUUCUUAGCAUUACCAUCAAACAGCCUUUAAGUAUUAUAAUAAGAUCAAUAAACUUCUCAAGAGUAAACAAAGAAAGAAGCAAAAGAGACAUUGAAAGAAACAAAAGAAACAAAAUGGUUUCUUCUUCUUCAUCAUCUGAAGCAAAGAUCAUCUCCCAAUGCUUUGUCAAACCCAAAACAGUAUCUGAAACAUCAAAAGAUCCAUACAAUUUAUCACCAACGGAUCAUGUGAUGCUCUCAUUCCAGUACAUCCAAAAGGGUCUUCUCUUUCUCAAACCAUCUGAUGGUGCAAUCAAAUCACAAGACUUCAUGGAGACUUUGCUGCAAAAGCUCAAAGACUCUCUAGCCACAGCACUUGUCCAUUUCUAUCUCCUCUCAGGUCGCCUCUCGACUUCGAAAACCGAUGAUGCAAGUUCAUAUUCAGUGUUUGUGGACUGUAAUAACAGUCCUGGAGCUGGAUUUAUCCAUGCCAAAUCAGAUCUAAGGGUGGGAGACAUUGUUGGGUCCAAGUAUGUUCCAUUGGUCGCUCAAUCUUUCUUUGAUCAUCACAAUGAAGUGAAUGGCCAAGGUCAUACCAUGAGUCUCUUAUCAAUCAAGGUACAUGUACCUUAGAUCCAAAGAAGUUACAUUAUAUAUAUAUAUCAAACUCAUGUAAUCUCUUUUAGAGUUCUGUAGGUAACAGAGUUGUUAGAUGGAGUUUUUAUAGGACUGUCUAUGAAUCAUUCGAUUGCAGAUGGAGUUUCCUUCUGGCAUUUCUUCAAUUCGUUGUCUGAGAUCUUCAGUUCUCAAGAAACCAUUGACAAUAACAUCAAACUGUUUUGUCUCAAGAAUCCUCCAAUCUUGAGACAAGUGUCCACCGGUUCUGUUUACAGCCUUCCCUGCAGUGAAUCUCCCAAGUCAAAUCCUCGGUUCCAGACACCGGUUUUGAAGGAGAGGAUGCUCCAUUUCUCAUCAGAAGCAGUGAGAUCACUCAAGUCAAAGGCGAAUCAAGAUUGUGGAACAACAAUGAUCUCUUCUUUGCAGUCUUUAACCGCAUUUAUAUGGAGAAGCAUUACAAGAGCAAGAAAGUUACAAAGUGAUCAAGAAACUACUUGCAGGUUUGUUGCUGACAGUAGACCAAGAAUGGUUCCACCACUGCCUAUGAACUACUUUGGUGUUCACAUCUCUCUAGUGAAAACGACUGCUAAAGUAGGUAACCUGUUGGAGAAUGAGUUUGGAUGUGCUGCUUUAAAGCUGCAUCAUGCUGUAGUUGAACACACUGGCGAAAAGAUCUGUUCCGAGAUGAAACGACGGUUCAAUCCUCCUUGUGCUUUGCCAUCAGAGACGUUUUAUGAUCCGACCAUUGUUCAUAUGGGAAACUCACCAAGGUAUGACAACUACGGAUGCCAGUUUGGGAUGGGGAAAGCAGUUGCGGUUAGAAGCGGUUAUAACGAUAAGUAUGAUGGGAAGGUAUCAGCUUAUCCUGGAAGGGAAGGUGGAGGAAGCAUAGAUUUGGAAGUGUGUCUUCUUCCAGAGUUUAUGGAAGCUUUGGAAUCAGAUCAGGAGUUCAUGUCCCUUGUCUCUCCUUCUUCUGGUUGAUACGUUCUCUGUCUGAUCUUUGUUGGUCGUUAUGAUGGUUUGCAGACAUGUUUCAACUACUGUGUUUGGUUGUCAAUUUCAGAGUAUUCAAGACAGAAUAGAACACACUUUAAAUCACGCUUAGCACCGUCACCUCUCGGUAAAAAGGGCAAGAAUCACUUUGCCAUGUUAUAUGUAUAAAUAUAAACACACAUACAAGAGAUACAUACCCACACAUACACGCCUUCAUGCCUAUGUGUACAUAAGAAUUUAAGAGUCACAAUAACACAGAUUCUUAAGAGAGAGUGUUGUACAACAAUGUUUUCUUACACAAAACGUUGAUCCUCAUUCACCAAUCCGACCUUCAGAAAGAAAGAAAAAACUUUAUGAGAUCAGUGGAAGCAUCAAUAGAGAUCUUACCAGAUAUAUCAUCUAUAUUCUGAAUCAACUUACCAACUAAAGACAGUAGUAUUCAUUUAUCAACGCCUACAUCGAGUCCUUUAGAGCUGAUCAUCACAUUUGAAUCGAUUUGCUUAUCAAAUUUCUUCUUUCUCCUCUCUUCAAAUUCUUGGUAUCCUUCCAUCUAUAUACAUUUACACCAUUGUUCUGUUACACACAACACAAUCACAAGCGUGUUCUUUGAGGUUGCAGAAUAAACUACUUACCAGCUGAAACUCGUCCAUGGAGAUGGGAUUGUUAUGGAGAGAUAGAUUUUGCAGACUCUUGCAAUCUUUCAGCAAUCCAUCUGGGAUCUGCAAAACCCCAUAAACGUUAGAGAUCACACAGGAAUACGAUAGAAGUUGAAGAAACUAAUCACGUUUCAAUUGCUCUACCUGCUUCACUUGAUUAUUGUCUAAGCAGAGAGACUUUAACUGAAUCAGAUUGCAGAGUGAUGCAGGGAGCUCCUCAAUGACGUUAUCUGCAAGGCUAUCCCAAAUCACGAUUAGGCUUUCGAGAAGAAACAACAACCACAAGGCAAACUCAACAGGAGACGGAGUUUUUGAAAAUGAAACUAGAAACAUACCAUUAGCCUGUAUCUCUUCUAAAGAGGCACAGCUUCCUACUGAUUCUGGAAGUGAUUUCAACCUGUUGUUCGAGACAUUCAACAGAACUAGCUGCAUUAUUAUAAGAGAAAGCCAAAUCAUUAGAGACAGCUAACUAGUCUUUUUAGCUAUGCUUUGGAAGGUAAAUGAAGUUAACAUACAUUGCGCAGACUACCGAUAGUAUCAGGCAAGUAUAUGAGCAUAUUUCUUGAUAUUGACAGUUGCUCAAGCCUUAUCAACUGACCCACUGAAAAAAAAAAAAAAAACCAUAAUAAAGAAAAAACUUGUUGUAAGAUCGAAACUUGUGAUAAAGAGAGUUCUUGUUUACAUUCAUCAGGUAAACAGCUAAUGCGGUUUCCAUCAAGCAUCAAAACUUUGAGAGAUUGAAGCUUCCCAAGGUUCCCGGGAAGGCGCUCAAUGAGAUUAUCAGCUAUUAACUGCCAAUAAGAUUAGCUUUUGAACCAUCAACAGUUUCAGUAGAUCAUGAUAAUGUACAAGAGAUUCAAAGUUGUCUCUCACCAGACGCUGCAUAUUGAUUAACUUGCUAACUUCUGCAGGAACAUCAGCUGCAUAAAUAACAAAAGCCUUUCAACUACAACUCUGAAACACAAUAAAAAAGAUAAAGACUUUUGGUGAAGAAGGACAUACAGAUCUUAUUGUGUGUUAGAUCGAGUGUUCGUACUGCUCUCUCCAUUACAAUCACUUCAUCAGGAAAUGUCUGCUCAACAAAUCACAAAACAAGACAUGAUCAGCCUAAAUCCUGUCUAAAAUCCCAAAACAUAAACCCUAAAAAACAAAAUCUUUAUGCUGCUUUGAUUAAAGUUUGUGACUUUUCAUCAAACCAAACCCUCUCAAUCAUUUCAUAUGAACACACAGACAGAUGCCAAAAACAGUUUUAUCAAUCAAUUAAAAAGAUUCUUCAAUACAUAAUCAGCUAAAUCCUGUCUAGAAUCCCCAAAACUAUAAACCCUAAAAACAAUAUUUUUUUAUGCUGAAUUCAUCAGCCAACCAUUCAAAGUUUGCGACUUUUCGUCUAAUCAAACUUUCGAAAUCAUUCAUAUGAAUACAAAAUCAGAUUCUUCACCUUUAAUUUGGAGUCGCGAAGCCCAAUAAUGCCGGUGGAUCGCCACCGUGCGACCCGGCUAGCCUUUGAACCUCCUCCUGCUGUAUUGCUCGCGCAACACCCCAUCUUCGUGCUUCCGAUUCUUCACCGAUUCUAACGCAGUUGAUUUGAUAAUAAGAUGAUUAUAAAAGAAGGAAACUAAUAUUGUAAUUGGAAAAAUCUGGAAACCCAGAAAGUUUCAAUGGAAUCGGAUUUUAGCUCAAAGGAGGAGAUAUCGAUUGGGUUAAAAAGUUUUACGGAUUUUUUUUUUUUUAAUCGAGGUUUUAGGUGAGAGUCAAGGUCUUUCGCGGGUUAUAUAUUGAAAAGAAGCCAAAAGUUGGGGACCAGAAAAGAAAUAUAAAUUGGAGAUGUUGUUGUUAGACCAUGUCCAUCACAGUGUUGAGGAAGGGUUUUUUACUCUUUAAAAUAAUGAAAAAAAUUAAAAAGAAAAGAGAAAAGGAAAAAAAAUAAGUGAUUUAAGUACCGGUAUUAACCUUCUACAACCACUUGUCUUUUAGUUAUUAGUUAAGUUUAUUGUUUAAUUUAACUAUAUUAAAAAUAUUUAGAUUAAAUUGUUAAGAACUUCAAAAUAGAUUUCAACCCAUGGAGUUGCUCUUACUUGCUAGAAGAGAAGGAAACGAAAUAUGAAAAUUCUGUUAUUCACCCACUUCGUUGAGUUUGUUUACAUUUUAAUUUUAGACCUGUUUAUAGAGAGAGGUUUCUGGUUUACAAGAUAACCAGUUUGAUUAUUACAGUUUGUAUUAAACCGGAUUGUACAUUUUAUACUGCUAGAACAGAAGACCUUAAACCGUUUUGUUUACAGCAAUGCCAUUAUUAAAACCGUUUUGCUCAAAAUAAAAAUUACUUUUAUUAAAACCGUUUAUUACAAGUAACCUCGUUUUCUUUGAUAUCAUUAACCCCUUCGCCAAGCAACUGCUUCUAAUGAGGGAAGGUUUUGUUUCUAUUUUGAGUUAGCCGUAGAGGCAUUUCUUGAAGCAGAACUCGAUUCUCUCAAGCGUUGAUCACUUCAUUGGUUUCUGCUCUUUCUAGUGGCUCCUCUGCGGCUCUCUUCAGCAUGAAAGCCUGUUGCAAAGUGAAGGUAAAUGGCAAAACAAAGAUCAGUUUCACAAAAAAAAAAAAAAAAGGGAUCUAGAAUCCUGAGCUAGGGAAAGUGGAGUACCUGGGCAUGGUGUGAUAUGGUUAAGGUACACGGUUGCUGAACCCAAGGUUCUCCAUCAAUUUGCGCAGGCAAUGAUGGUGCACAAAGUUGUAUUUUGACUGAUUGCCCUUGAGCUAAUCUUGUGACACGAGAGAACCCAACCUGAUUAUAUGUGGAGGGGGGAUAGAAUGCAACAUCAUCAUGCAUACCUGAAGUUUACCAAGGUGCCAUGUUCCAGAUAUACUCACGACUUCUACUAUCUUGUCAUUCAUAGAUUGCGGAUCAAAGCUUUCAUACGUUUCAUCUUCAUCAUGCCAUAAAUCAACACCUCCCAUGUAACUUCCGAUGUUUGCAACAAGCACUCCUUCAGCAUCCUUCAGAAAUGUUACAGCAUUAACUAUCAUGUGGUUAUCUGUUAGGUGGGUUAACUAUCAUGUCGUACCUCAGGAACCUCAAUGUCAACACCAUCCACCUCAACUCGAACUUGCCAUGGGAAAUCUUCGAACGUUCUAUCUCUUAUACUCCUUGCACCUUUUCUAGCAAAUAAUACUUCGUUCAUAAACUGCAUAUUAAAGAUCCUUCAAAUGUCAGUUUCAUAGCCUAAUUAAGUAUUAACAAUACAGCUUCUCUACAAUAAUGCCACUUAAAUCAUAUGAUUAAGGAGUCCGGAGGGUAUAUUAAUGCCUCAUCAGUUUUAGGAUGUUAUUCUAGAAGUGACUUAAAUGGCUGUAAGGGUUUUGACCUAGAGGAAAACAAUGAAAUCAGGUUUCGAGACUAUUGUAAAUACGGAUCUAAAAUAUGUAAAUUAUUCAUUCACAUAAUCAAUAUAUAAACUCUAAACGGGUAUAUGCCUCAAUCGUAUUUUGGUCUCUUAAGUUCUGUUUUUUCUUGCUGUUAAUUCACGUUUGUUACGUUUAUUUUGUUACCUGGCUAUAAAACAUCUCUGGAUUCUCCUCCCGUAGAUUGUGAAUAUUAAGGAAGAACUUUGCAUCACACCCAACUCCUGUUAACAUUUGCACCGUAAGCCAAAAUUUAUAGGCUACUUAAGGAUCUAAAAUAUACAAUGGGCAUGGUUAAAACUAAACCUUAUCAAGCAUGAAGUAUAUUAAACGAAUAAGCUAAAUCCAUCUUAUAGAUUAAAAACAAAUGAAGUUGGAGUUGCUUUCCUUACUGACCUAUAUAGUUGUUCAUAUAUUUUGGCGGCUGGAGUUGCUUUCCUUGCUCAUUCAGUAUUGAUACUUUCCAACGAUCAAGGACAGUGACUUCAGCAUGUUCUAUGUUCUGUAAUACUGUAGAUAAGCCUCCUUGUCUCUCAAAAGAAUCCAAACCACAACCCCAGUUCAAUACCCGGGCUAGAUCAUUCCCGGUUCCAGCAGGCAGGAUAGCAACCGCAGGAGGAGAGACAAAACUCUGUUUUUCUAUGGAAUUCAAUACCCAACCAGCAGUGCCAUCUCCACCACAAACAACAACUCUAAAGUUAGGAACCUUCCUGAAGAGGAAUAGCCCCACUUCUGGUCCCUGCAUUGAACUCAAUUCACAUACCUGCACCAAACAUCUCCAUCAAUAAACUUGAACACAUUAAGAGCAACAUUAUCAGAUAGAACCUCUGAGUUUCUAAAAAGAAAAACGAUUUUACUAUCAUAAUUAGUUUUUAAAAACUCUCAAAUAAGAACUUUGUUUUGUUCUCUCCAGCUUUAAUUAUCUAUAUUAUUAAUCUAUACUAUUAAAGCAGAAUCUCUACUAGGAUUUUGCCAUUGAUUUUCAACUUAUUACAAUAGUAUGCUAUUGCAUUUAAUUCUAAUAUAAUUAUUAUUUAUUUAAAAUAGAGAACUAAAUAUUUCAUAUAUUUAUAAUAACUAAUCUUUCCAUACUUUGUAAAUGAUAAUAAUUCUAAUUUCUUUGAAAUCUAUACUUUUUAUUUAAUUUAAACAUUUAGUACUCUAACCAUUGGUGAUUAUACUAGAAUAAGUUUUAUUUGAUAUAUAUUUAAACUAAAUGUAAUUCUUUUCUAAAUUGAUGUUACAUAAAUUUCCUGAAUAUAUGCCCUUAGAAAACAAACAUUUCAUAUAAAUCUUAAUAUCUUUAAAUUAAUAUUUAAAAACUUAAAAUAAAGUUGAUUUUUUAAAACAAACAUAUGAUUAAUAAGUAGAAAUUUUUACAAUUUCUAUUUUUCGGUUUUUCAAAUUAUUUCAUCGAAUAUACAAAAUAUUUAUCAAGUAAAAACGGGUUGAACAAAUAGAUUUUUUUAUUUCUGUUAUGAACUAACAAACAUGUUAAUAAUUUUAUUAACAAAAAUAUCAAAAUUUAGUUAUUAUUAUUUUUAAAUGUUGAAAACUCAUGCUAGAGCUGGCCGAUAGAGCUGCUCUAACACGUAAGAAAAAAGCAUUGGAAAAGUUCACAAUUUACAAGGCAGCAUACUCGUACCUGCACAGGAUUUAGAAGAAGGUUAAGGCGCUGAAGAAGGGAAUCACCUCGUUGAGAACCACUCUUUCUGUUAAUGAAAACCAACAACGGUCUUGCAUCUGAAGGCAAAUCAGCUAGCUCAUACUUAAGUUUAUUUGCACCAUGCCUGAUUCUGCUAAAAAGCCAUCCACAGGGAUUCAGAGUCAACUCUUUAACAUAAAGAGGGCACAUAAUUAGCCUUCUAAGAGGGCCAAGAUCACAAACGUCUCCUGUUUCAUUUGACAUAUUACUGCUGCGACAGUCGGCAUGGACAAGACGUUGGCACCACAAGCAGCACCAUAUAGGAGACCCCUCAAGAAAGGAGCUACUACAUGACUCGUUACAGUAGCUACAAAACGAGGAGUCAUCUGUCUGAUCAGCAUUUUCCGUCCACUGGUGCACCACAUGCUUAUAUCCAACCAUGGAGACGCAUUUGCAAUCUUUAGGGGCACUUGGGGAGCAACUAAAAUGGGCUGCUGCUCCACAGAUGUUGCACCUGUGGAUAGAACUUUCAGAAGCUACAAUUGUCGACUUCAAGCAUACACAGCAGUUCAAGUUCUUGGCAGGGGAUGAAGAGUGGAGUUCCCAGCGAUGUGGAGCAACGAGAGUCUUGUUUGGACUUUUCUUUGAGGCUCUUCGCCAUUGAAAAGCAGUGUAGGCUAUGGUGAAAAUACCAACAAGGGCAGCAACUAAGCAAGAGAACAUUAACAUUGCAACUGGAUUCUUGAUGUUCCAGGGGAUGAUUAUCCACAUUUAUCUGAGUUCCUGAAGGUGGAGCCAUUCAGAAGCCCCCACAAGAUUCUUGGCUUGGUCAGUCACAACACGCAGGAUAUCAAAUAUUGCGUUCUCUAACCGCCAAGAAUCGAAUAGAAACAAAACAGAGAAUCUAAUAAAGAAUAUGAAGAACUUGAAGCAAUGGAUCAAUGGCUAGAAAGCUUUCCUAUUCAUUACUAAAAUUGCUGCAUCUUCCAAUUCAGUUAAACUCAGAAAAGCGUUUGUUACAAGUAACCUCGUUUCUUUUUAUAUCAUCAAACCCCUUCCUCAAGCAACUGCUGGCAGGAGAUAAACAAAAUAAUCUGAUAUAUGUAACACUUGGUAUUAAUGGUUUAUCUCCUAACAAAAACUCAGCACAAUACUAUAUUAGUGGAAAACAAUCACAAGAAGAAGCAAAACGCAGUCAAGAUAAAGAACCAAAUAAUAUUAUUGCUUUUCUAGAAAAUGGUCACCAAGUAAGAACAGGCUUCCUCUAAAAACACAUACACAAUUCUUUCUCAAUUAUAUAAUAUAUAUGAAAAGACCACACUGUAAUAAUAAUAUAAGAAAAGAUGAUUGAUAAUUUAACAAGCUUUGUAUCAGUUCCACAUAUGAGUUAUGACACAACACUAUGAAAACAGCCAAAACUCUUGGAACCCCAAGUUCCAUUUUCUUUUUUUCCUACUUCCACACAGAACCCGCUUUUUAAUUCAGCGGAUUUGACAUGUAAAUACACACUUUUCACCCUUCUAUUAGACAGUGACUACCCAAGAGGAUGGUUGAUCGGUUGCUGAACAGAGCAGGUUUUUGUCUCUGUAUUUUCUUUUUCAGGUUAGCCGUAGGGCCAUUUCUUGAAGCAGAGCUCGUUUCUGUGAAGCGUUGAUCACUUCAUUGGUUUCUGCAUUUUCUAGAACAUCUGUGAUUAUAGCGGCUGCGUGACCCAGUGGCUCCUCUGCAGCUCUCUUCAGCAUGAAAGCCUGUUGCAAAUGAGAAAAACAAAGAUCAGUUUCGCAGUAAAUGGUUCGAGCUUUUAGAUGGAGCUAAAACGUUUGCAAACUCGCGUUGGAUCUAGAAUCCUCAGUAAGGGAAGUGGACUAGUGGAGUGAAAGACCUGGCCAUGGUGCGAUAUGGUUAAGGUACACGGUUGUUGAAACCAAGGUUCUCCAUCAAUUUGCACAGGCAACGGCGCACAGAGUUGUAUCUUUACCGAUUGCCCUUGAGCUAACCUUCUGGCACGAGAUAACCCAACCUGAUUAUGUUGGGACAAACAACUGAUGUUAGGUUUACAAGAUAGAAUGCAACUAAAAUCUGUUAAAUGAUCAUCAUCAUACCUGAAGCUUGCCAAGGUGCCAUGUUCCAGAUAUACUCACGACCUCUACUAUCUUGUCGUGCAUAGAUUGCGGAUCAAAGUUUUCAUAUGUUUCAUCUUCAUUCUGCCACAAAUCCACACCUCCCAUGUAACUUCCGAUGUUUGCAACAAGCACUCCUUCAGCAUCCUUCAGAGAUUUAGCAGAGAAGUUACAGCCUUAACUAUCAUUUGUUUUUUUUUCUGUGACGUAGUUACUGUGACUUACCUCAGGAACCUCGAUUUCAACACCAUCCACCUCAACACGAACUUGCCAUGGGAAAUCUUCGAACGUUCUGUCCAUUAUACUCCUUGCACCUUCUCUAGCAUAUAGAACUUUGUUCAUAAACUGCACAUAAAAGAGCAUUCAAAUGUCAGUUUCAAAGACUAAGUAUCAACAGUACAGCUUCUCUACAAUAAUGCCAGUUAAAUCGUAUGACUAAGGAGUCCUGAGGCUAUAUUAAAAUUUCAUCAAUUCAGGUUUCUUUCGUCACCUGGCUAUAAAAUCUCUCUGGAUUCUCCUCCCGUAGAUUGUGAAUAUCAAGGGCAACCUUCGCAUCACACCCAACACCUGUUAAGAUUUGUAACGUAAGCCAAAAUUUAUAGGCUACAGGUUUCAGGACAGCAGUCAAAUCAUUUACAAGGAUCAAAAAUACACAAUGGCCAUGGUUCAAACUAGACCUCAAGCAUGGAAUUAUUAAACAAGAGACUAUAUCCUUCUACAAUUUUAAUUAUAAAGAUUCAAAUGCAAAUGGUUUUAACCCAAAGAAGUCCUGCUAAGAGUUUUUGCAAAAAAAAACGAAGCUGCAAACAAGAGUAAAGGAGUCUGCAACUGACAUCAGAUAGGUUAACUAACCUAUAUAAUUGUUCAUAUAUUUUGGUGGCUGGAGUUGCUUUCCUUGCUGAUUUAGAAUCGAUACUUUCCAACGAUCAAGGACGGUGACUGCUGCAUGCUCUAUGUUCUGUAAUACUGUAGAUAAGCCUCCCUGUCUCUCAACAGAUCCCAAACCACCACCCCAGUUCAAUACCCGGGCAAGAUCAUUCCCAGUUCCAGCAGGCAGGAUAGCAACCGCAGGAGGAGAUACAAAAUUCUGUUUGUCUAUGGCAUCCAGUACCCAACCAGCAGUGCCAUCUCCACCACAAACAAGAACUCUAAAGUGAGGAACCUUCCUGAAGAGGAAAAGUCCCACUUCUGGUCCCUGCGCUGAACUCAAUUCACAGACCUACACGAAACGGCUCCAUCAAUAAACUUGAAGACAAUAACCAGAAAAAAUGCAUUGGCAAAUUCCACGGAUAUAUAACUGUGUGACUAGUUUACAAACCUGCACAGGAUUUAGAAGAAGAUUAAGGCGCUGACGAAGGGAAUCACCUCGCUGAGCACCACUCUUUUUGUUAAUGAAAACCAACAACGGUCUUGCAUCUGAAGGCAAGUCAGCUAGCUCAUACUUAAGUUUCGACCUUAGUGCCUGAUGUUCAUCUUUCUGGCCAAAAGACCCGCUUCUUUUAACACUGGGCUUCUUCUCCAGCUUGCCAUUGCUAUCACUGUCCCCGUGAGAAGAACCUCCAUUCAUAGCGCUGCUUGUAUUUUCCAACACGGCGGGACCUGUAUCAGCUGUGCUUUCCGUCGAUUCAUCACAAUUGCUACCACUAUUACCCGAAUCCACUGAAGUUUCAUUACCUUGCUUGUAUUUUUUACUUUGACUCCUGAUACUGGCACGGACAGUAGACGCAAGUUCAUUUGCACCAUGCGUGAUCGUGCUCAAAAAUCCUCCAGAUGGAUUCCGAGUCAACUCCUUAACAUAAAGAGGGCACAAAAUUAACCUUCUAAGAGGGCCUAGAUCGCAAACGUCCCCUGUCUCACUCGACAUAUUACUGUGACAAUCGACAUGGACAAGACGUUGACACCACAAGCAGCACCAUAUAGGCGAACCCCCGAGAAAGGAGCUACUACACGGCUCGUCGCAGUAGCUACAAAACGAAGAAUCAUCAGUCUGAUCAGCACCUUCCGUCCACCGCACCGCCCACUGGUGCACCACAUGCUCAUACCCAACCAUGGAGACGCAUUUGCAAUCUUUAGGAGCACUUGACGAGCAACUAAAAUGGGCUGCUGCUCCACAUAUAGUACACCUGUGGACAAAAGUCUCAGAAGCUACAAUCGUCUGCGACGGCGACAUCGACUUCAAGCAAACACAGCAGUUCAAGUUCUUGGCGCGAGAUAUAGAGUGAAGCUCCCAGCUAUGCGGAGCAACAGGAGUCUUAUGCCGCGCCUUGGGAUUCUUCUUCGACCUGGCUAUGGCUUUCGUCCAGCUUAAGUUGAUAUUCCUUCUCCACUGGAAAGCAGUGUAGGCUAUGGUGAGAAUACCAACAAGAGCAGCAACAAAGCAAGAGAACAUUACACCGCGAGACUCGACCAUUUCAACUGGAUUCUUGGAGAACAUCCCCAUUUCUCCAUCGUCCUCCAUCUAUCUACGUUGCAACUCGAGACACGUGCCUAAAGCUGGAGCCAAUCAGAAAGAUUUCUUGUCUUGGUCAGGUCCACACAGAGGAGAUCAAUAUACUAUACAGAGUCCAUAUCCUCAUCAUCCAGCGAACCUGAAUAUGUUAUGCCGCGGAGUACAAUCACACUUCAACUAUAGAAAACAAACUCUUCAGCCCUGUCAAGAAAAAACACGUGUCACUCAGCGAAACUUAAAAACAAAUCACUUUCAUAAGAGAAUGAAAGAAACACUAUAAAACAAAAAAAAAACAAAAUGAAAUGAAAUAUAAAUGUUUGGUCAUUAAAAAUCAGCAAAGUUUCAAACUUUCUUGAUCGUACUUGACUCAGAUUCAGUCUCAAAUCAAACAGAUGCAAUUAAAUAAUCAUACUUCGAAUCCACCUUCCUACGAAUUGUUCGUGCUUAAUACAUCAAUCUGCUCAAUGCUUAUGAUCCUGCAUACUCAAUACGGCGACUCGAACUAAAAAACAAACUGGGAUCACAACAAUCGCCAAAAAUCAAUGAAAAUCACAAAAGGGGAUAAAAUAGCAGGAAACCCUAACAUCCAAACGCGACGGAGAGGAAGAUGAUCAGAUGAUAACGAUAGAGAUCGAUCAAGCGAAAGGAGAGAACAAAAACAAACCCUAGAAUCGACGCACCCAAGCCCGAAGCUUUUCACUCCACCGGAAAAUUCCAAAAUCCAAAUUUUUAUUUUUUUUUCUCUUUUUCGAAAGCAGAUGCCCUCGAGUUUAUAUAUAUCAGUAUCCGUAAUACACGGCCUGGCCACGUAGGAUAAAUGAAUCUCGGAUUCUGAAUACCCACGUGUCCCUAGACAUGUCAAUUAGGGCCCAAGUCCGUAGCCCGAGCCCGCCCAGCCCUAAAAAUUACCGCGCUUGGGCUUCGCUUUAUAAGCCCAAAAAAAAUUAGGUCUUUCGGGCUAAGCCCAUUUGGGCUUUGGGUAUUUUGGGCUUAAGCCCGUUUGGGCUAGGGCCGGCCCGAAAACCCGAAAUUUAUAUUUUAGCGUAAAUAUUAUCUUUUUUUCUUGUAAUUGAAACUAUUAUUAGUAUUGAUAUAUUAUUUUAAUAUUUUUAUCCAAACUCUAAUAAAGCAAAUAUAAAAGUUGUUAAUGCACUUUAUUGUUUCAUCAUUACAAGUGUUACAUUUUAAAUUUUACAAAAAUACCUUCUUCUUUCAUGUACAACAUGUUUUUAUUUUCAAAAUACAAAGUAUGAAACGUUUGACCAUGUUUAUCAUAAAUUUUGUUCUCUUAUAUUUUUUGUUUUAAUUGAUAAUUGAUUAUUUAAAUCUUAUUAAAUUUGGUUUGUGUAUAAAAUGUUUUUAAAGCAUACGAAAAAAUAAAAAAAUUGUGAUAGAGAAGAAAAUUUUAAACUCACUUUAUAAAUUUUUUAUUUUUUAAAAAUGAAACUCUUUUUUUUAAUGAAAAUUCACAUGUAUUAAAACGAUGGAAGUGGCAAUGACAAAUUAUUUUUUGAAAAGCCCACAAAAACCCGAAAAGCCCUAUAGCCCUAUAAGGGCCGGGCCGGGCUUUGAAUUCUAGGCCCAAAUAAUUUUCGGGCCGGGCCGGGCCGGGCUCAAAUAUUUACGGGCUUAGCGGGUUUGGGCCGGGCCGGGCCGGGCCAGCCCGAAUUGACACCUCUACGUGUCCCUACUAAAUUUUUGUCGGCAAAGGGCCCAGGCCCAUUACUGUCGUGACACGAUUUGGAAUUACUUCAGCAUGUAUGAAUGAUAUUGACCCACUCCAAAACAAAAGCAUAAGUUGGAUUCGUUCUAUAUCGUGUACUAUCCACAGUGUUCUAAUUAAUACGAAUAAAUGUUUAUAGUUAGUAGUGUUGUGAGUCUUGUGACAUUUAUAUUGAUUUAUUUAAAAUAACUACAAAAAACGAAAUGUUAUUUUCAUAUCGUGUCUUGUUUUCGUAGUGUUCUUAUAUGAAAAAUAUUUUUUUUUGUGUUUGUAGUGUUAUGACGUAUAUGUUGAUUGCUUUAACAUACUACAAAAAUAAUAAUGUUAUUUUGUUUUAGACUGGCGUGUCACCUAUCGUUUGAUACGUAAUUAUGUGUAUUUUAAUUGCAGCAGGUGUCAACAGUUUCUACAACAGAAUUUUGAAAAUUGCUACGAAAAUUGAACAUCAUUGUAGGCUGGUAUAAUUUAGAAACUCGUACAAGUAACACAUACUCCCUCCGUUCCUUAAAGAUACAUAUUCUAGAAAAAAAAUUUGUUUCUAAGAGAUUCAUUUUUUACAUUUUCAAUGCAAGUUUUAUUAACUAAUUGCAAACUUCAAAAAUCUUAAUUGCACUAAUUGGUUUUUUAUUGGCUUAAAAUUGUGGAAAGAAGAUAAACACAAAAAAUUAUGCAAAUUUAAUGUGUUUUAUUAAAAUGUGUGAAAAAAAUAGAAUAUGGAUCUUUUAGGAACAGAGGGAGUAUGAUAUAUUGAAUGCUUAGCGUGUUUUGAAACUAAAUAAAAUGAACUAGUUAAUUAUGAGCACAUGUGGGAGGUUUAUUUAAAACCAAUCAAUUUGAACCAUAAAACAGUUAUAAGUUAUAACUAUAGAGAUGUAUUUUAAAAAGUAAAGAUUAUACUCCCGUCACUUUGACAAAGAAGAAUAAUAUAAAUGAAGAGAAAAAUGACAUAGAAGACAUUGAAGUGAAAGUUCGCUUUCCAUAUCACAACUUUCAAAGCAACUAAGCUUUUGUCUUCAGUUUCAUAUCAUUAUGUUUUUAGCUUCUUUUUCACGCUUUAGAAUAUUCUCAAAUCUCAACAUAAGGCCCAUAUUAGUAUUCGGUUGGGUCGAUACUUUCUCUCUCAAUCUUUGUUUCCUCUCUAAGAUCUUUUACAGAAAAGAGAGAAUGUGUUUCGUUUUUUAUUUACCGGUUUUUGUUCCGGCUUUACCUCUCGAUUGUCGGGCUAUGGUCUUCGGGAAGCGAUGGCUUCAUCAGUAUCAGCUUCGCCGGCUUUUGACUCCGGGUUACAGUGGCUUCUGUAGCACUGUUCACGCCGGCUUUACUCCGGGUUUAUCCGGAUCCUCAAUCUUCGUUCUUUCUUGCUUGUUUCAAUCGCCUCUUGAUCUGAUUCUCCGACCUUUUCCUCCCUUUGUCUAGGGUUGUUAUAUCUUCAAGCUUACUUUUAUCUUUAAAGAUGUAAGAUGCUUCAUGCAGGUUAAUCGGAGUUUAUUAGAUCGACUGAAGGCGGUUGUUUUAUCCUUCAUGUAGCAUGGAUCCGACAGUCUAAUUUCAUCGGCUUGAAUCUCUGAAGGUUGUUAUGUUUUGAACGGUUGUUUCUUCGUUUCUUCUUCGCUGAAGGCGGAGCUCUGCCGUGUUUCUUCUCUUUGGAGAAAGUAGGAGGCUCCUCAUCUUGAUCCGUGUUUAUUGAUCGUCGGAUGAUCGUCCACAUGGAAAAUCACGUUCCUGGUUACUUCCUCGACGGGUUUGAUCUUGUUGGCUGAAGGCCACAAGUUUCUGUAUUUGGACCAUCUGUUGGGCCUUUUCGUUUUAAUGUUUUCUUGGGUUUUGGUUAUCUCUUUUGUCUUUAUUGUCUUGGGUUUCGCCAUGUUGUUGGACUUAGUUCUUUUAAUAAAUCAUCCAUUGACAAAAAUUAAAGAAUAUUCUCAACAUUUCUGUAUAUAUUUUUAUAAUAUCAAGUAUUUACAAAUUUAUUUUAUAUAUUUCUAUUUUUUUCUUUAUUACUCUAUUUUCUAAUUUUAAAAUAGAAAAAAACAUAUUAAGAGUAAUACAUUAUAAUUAAUUUCACAUCAAUUAUAUUUUUUUAAAUAACAAAAGACAGUGGAAACAAUCUUAUAACGGUUAUCACUGCCAUGUUUAAAAAGUCUAAAAAUGUAUGUGCAAAGUCUCCCUAAAAUAUUCAUGCACCAUAUCAUACUGUUCAAAAAUAUUAUUUGUUGGUUCUUAAAAGGAAAACGAGAAAGAAAAAAACGCUUUUGUAGUAGGAGUAACUUAAAAAAAAAAGGUUUUGCAUAAGAAUAUUCACGUAUCACUUUAAUAUGUUUAUAUAACUCAUAUAAUAAAUUUUUUUUAUAAAUUUAUUAUUAGAAAUAUAGUUACAACAAGCUAGAAACAAAAAAUAAUGACUAAAUUCCCUACUUGAAGAUAUAUUAACACUACUGUAGUAGAAAAAAAGAAGUAUUAUUAAUAGUUUAACCACUAUAUGAUUUAAGUUGCAGAAAAAAACACUAGUAUAUGCUUCUCAUUUUAACUACAUACUUUGGUAUUACAAAUAUGUACGUGCCACGGAUCUCUAUGCUAUAAAAAAAUCAACGGUCGAAGAACUCAUCACCUGACAAAAACGAAAUGAUGACGAUUUAGACACCUUCGCCGUAGUUGAUAUCAAAUCUUUCCAUCAGAAAAUAAUAUGUAAUCAUCAAAAGCACAUAGAAAACAUAAGAACCUCCAUGGCUUCUCCAACCUCUUCCCAUUGUUCUUCCAUGGCGAUGAUAAACGGCAACGUCUCAAGAACCCUAAACCCAGCCGCACCUCUCUUCUUUCCCCAAAACCCUUAUCUGCAUCACCACUACUUCUCUUCACCUCAGAUUCUCUUCAUCUCCGACACUAACCUCCCUCCCCCAUCUUCAAUCGUUGUGUACUAUCCUCUGUGGUAUAACAAUCCUAACCCUGCUAUGUUUGAGGCAACACAAGAACUGCCUCCACUUCACUCUCAAGACCCUAUCCAAGAGCUGAGUCCUCCACCGACCAGUAGAAAAAGGGUUUUUGGCUGGGGAAGAAGCAGCAGACACCACCGUAAUAAGCUGGUGUGGAGGAGGAGGAUCCAUUAUCAAGCUGAGUCCAACGGCGAUACAACUGUCAUGCUUAGAAACAUACCCAACAAGUAUACGUACGUAUCUAUAUGAAUAUAUAUCAUUCACUAGAAGAGUAUUUGUUAAACAAAGGCGUGAAGUAAUUUGUUUUAUAUGAUGAUGUUUAUCGAAUCUUAUAAUUACUGUGUAAGCAGGAGAGAGAUGCUUAUUCAGUUCUUGGAUGAGCAUUGUGAAGAAGAAAACAACAAAGAGGAAGAUGAAGAGAAUGCCCAUGAUUUCUUAUAUCUUCCCAUCGAUUUCCAGUAAGUUUUUUGUUUGUAUAUUUUUUUUUAACUUUAUCACUAUUUGUUAGUCUUAAUUUUUGAUUAAUAUAUCUGACAACAUCAAAAAAUUAUUCGAUCUGGAUACCUAUACACUUAUAUAGAUGUUUGCGUGUAGGCAAGAGCAACAACCUAAUGAUGAUACAACUUUUUAGAUAUGAUAAUCGAUUAAUAAUCUGGAUGAUAUAUCAAUUCAAAAUUUUUGUUUUCGCUUUGAUAUAUUUGUUACAUAACAAUGUCAUAGAUUGAUAGUACAACAUUUAAUAUAUUUCUUUGAAACUAAAUUAAUGGCACUAAAUUGAGCAGGAGCAAAAUGAACAAAGGGUAUGCAUUUGUGAACUUCACAAAAGCAGAAGCAGUGUCGAAGUUUAAGGCGGCGUGCAACAACAAGCCAUGGUAUUGUUUCGGUUCAAGGAAAAUACUUGAAAUUGCCCAUGCUCGGAUCCAGGUUAGUUCUAUACCCAUUCUUCAUCAUGUGUACAUGCAUAUAUAUAUUUUUUAUAUCAAGCUUAUUGUUAACAUUCGUGUUUAGGGAAAAGAUAACUUGGUGAAACAUUUCGAGCAAAUGAUUUAUCCAGCUGAAGCAUACAGUGCGGUGUCUUUCAUCCCUGCUCGUAAGGGACCAAAGAGUACGGGUCUCACUAUCAUGGUCGGCAAGUGCACCCAAGCAGCGAUAUCGGUUUAGAUAGAGGUUGUUUCAUCUAUCAUGUUAUAUAUAUUUAGGAUUAUGAAUGUGUGUGUUUGUGUGAUGGGGAACAUCGAACUAUGAGUAAUGGGUGUGCUUAAAGGGAAAAGAAAGGACUCAGACACCGAACCAAAUCCAAGUUAAAACUCUAUAAAGUUUAGUUUUGGAUUUGGUUUUUGAUGUGUGUGAGUUUUGACUUUUCCUUUGUUUUUAUGUUAAGGGUCUACGUGUAAUGGGUUUGUACUUAGAAAGGAAAAGAAAGGACUCAGACACCGCACCAAAUCCAAAAGUUGAAACUAUGAAAAGUUAAUUUUUGGAUUUGGUUUUUGAUGUGUGUGAGGUUUGACUUUUUCUUGGCAUCUAUGUUAAGGUUGUAUGUGUUUUUAUGCACUACUUAUGUAUUGUCGUUUAACUGUUGGUUUGUCAAUGUUACGUAAGUUGUUUCUCUGUUGUUUUAAUUUUCGUGUUAGUGAUAAGAGUAUCAGUUUCAAAAAGUUUGUUGAAUUUCUGUACCUUUCUUCUCUUAACCUGGAAGUUCCUCACAUGAGAACGAGAAUAACAUUUGACAGGAAAAUAAAAUUUAAAAUCAAGAAUUAAAAAGCGAACCAAGAGCUCUUGGUCUAGUGGUAAUGGAACUGCAGCUGGGAGUAUCCGCCAUGGGUUCGAGUCGCCUUGGUCACCUUUCCGUCUAUAACCGUGCGUGCCCGGAUGGAAGGUCUCGUGGAGAUUAGUCUGGACUUAUCGCUUUGGAUUCCCCACAGAUAUCAAAAAAAAAAAAAAAAAAAUUAAAAAGCGACCACCGAUUAUCACUUAUCAGGACUUUUUUUUUUCUUUUGUCAACGAUGGAUACGUUCACUAUUUGAAGCCGUGUUCUGGUUAUAUCCCAACCAAAGAAUGUUUUGCUUAGAAAUGUAUGUACUUUUUGUGAGGUAGUUUCCAAUGUUGUCAGUAUUCAUCUUUU
rnacentral:lncRNA from 1 species